UUUUUUUUUUUUUUUGAAAGUGCCAGCCUUGACUGGUGUUCCAUUGAUUUAAGCAGGGAGCAGUGGUAAAAGUGACAAAUGCAGUGAUCCGAGGAUCAAGGAGAUAAAAAGAAGAAAUAGGAAAAGGGGUGCCCUAGGCACCGCUGGUCGGGCUAACUUCUCACGGCGGGUCCCCGAAGGGGCUCUGAAGAAAUAUAAGGCCACUUUGCUGCCACAAGCUGAGGUCCCGCCUGAUUACGUUAUGUACGUCCCGCUCCCUUGCCUCCUUCUUCCUGGAGAUGCACUGGUUUCGCUCUUGCCAAAUUUUCCACAGAGCACUAGAGGCAGUUUCACUGGGUAACCAUUCUCCUCGCAGGUGGCGGCCGGAGUUUGCAAUUGCAGGGAGCACUAACAUUGCUCAACGUUGGGAGAUUUAAUUUGAUGUGUGGCAAUAGCGACCCAACACCGCUCUCAGGACAUGUCUCUUCCUUGGUCGAUGCUUGUGUCUCAAGGUCAUACACGUUUCAUACUGCAGCCCAAGACGCCGUAGUAGAGCGGAGAAAGAUAAUACAUCUGAAGUUGUUGUUUCCCUGAAGGGUCCUCGCCUAAGUCUCGCCCAUGGCUGCAGAAGUAACGUGAUGGAAACUGCCAAACUAUGAAACUAAACAUCAAUUUGUGAAGUCCACUCAAAUGUCCAUCGUCCAUUUUUUCUGACAUCUAAUUGCAUGUUUGGGUCAGCGUUUUCGUUUCAAAUACCUCUGUAAAAAAUACAUGCCUCAGUCCGUCGUUUUGUUUCCGGCCGGAAAUUGCUCAUUAGCUGGUAAAUUACACCUGUAAAGAAAACACUUCUGUAUUGUUUUACACCCAAUCCAAGCGCGGCCUAAGGAGUUUGUUUGACUCGUGUGUGUAUGCAGUAGGCAGAGAUAACAAAUGUGUUGCUCAUGACUUGUCUGCCUAGCGAUUCAGGUGUACCUAUUUUCUGGCGAGGCGAUUGUGCCCAACAACAUGCGUGGGACGUUUGUUAAUGACUGUAUGAACUACGAACAUGCACACUGAAUCUAUGGUGUUUGUAUUUCGUGUGUUUCCUUUGCGCCAAUUUGGCCAACAAGCAAAGUCUACAGUUCGAGUUGGAUUAUGUGAGCUUCAUAGCAUUAUAAAACCACUACUCUUGUCUUGGCCUGCAAAAACGGACAUCACGCGGUGUUGGUUGUCUAUAAACUCUCUAAUGUCACGGGAGAAAUUCUUUAUUGUUUUUCUUUUGAUUCUCCUUUUUUUUUGUAAAUGUCCCACACCUUUCACUUCCCCUACCUUAAUGAAACGGACAGAGCACCUGCCUUUAUGUUAAAAUAAUAUAAAGGGCAACUGAAUCUUUUUGUGGAAAAAGGGCAAUUGUGUCAAUUUAGCCAGACAUAGGUUAUUUGAAGUUGGUUGUCAAACUGUUUCAAUUUACUUAUUUACACUUUCCAAUGGUUGAUCAUAAUUAUGUAUAUUGCUUGGUCAAAAAUGUUGUUGUAAGAAAAGAUGUACCACCUAGAGGAUAACCUCCAUGAUGCUAAGGUAUAAUCAUCCAAAACUGGCUUGACUCGAUUAACUUAUAUUCAUGACUAUAUUCUCAUUCAUCUAUGUUUUGAGCAGGAAUAGAGCUUAGGUACAUCCAUCGGUCUAGUUGGUGUCUUGUGGCCCCCUUGGCUCGGUCCGUAAGAAAAGACGAGAUCGAUGGAUUGAAUCAACUAUAAGAUGGGCACUGACUUAAUCAAGAAACUAGUUUUACUCAAAUAAUUUAUGUUUUUGUAACUAAAAAGUGUCCGCACGUUUUUGAAAAAUAUUCAUGCAAUUAAGAAUUUUUAAUUGACUUUUAAGGCAAAUUUUAACAUCCUCCCUCUUACCCUCUUUUUUUAUACGUAAGGUAAGAAGGUAAGAGUUCAUCAGACCACUAAUUAAUGAGAUCAACGACUCAGAUCUAUUAUAUACUCUUACCUCUCAUGCAAACAGAGGAGGUAAGAGGGAGCAUGUUAAAAAUGCAAACUGGGCUGACCCACUUCGGCUCAUCCUAAAGUCGAUUCCGUGAUUAUACACCUAACUUUUCCUUGGCACACACACACGCAGAUAAUCAAUUGGUGACUUGUUGCGGUAAACCAUUGUUCCGCUAUGCUCGCUGUUACAACAGUACACCUAUGAACUUUAUGAUGCAUAACCUCUCAAUGAUCUCAAACAUCAAAUCUCUUCAAAACUUCGAACCAUCGAACGAACAUUUAGCUAAAAGAUGUAUAUUGAUCCAUGCUCAUGCAGAAGUUCAAAAGACAUUUCGUAAACCAUGGUUGAUAAUGCUUGUUAGAUUUACCUGGUGACAGGUACUCUAUGCUGCUAACUAACAACGUUGGAAGGCUAUCCAACCAUGUUGUUGUGAGCUAUGUUAUCUUAAUUAAAACUAUGGGAGGCGACUUGAUGAAAGAACUAGUACUCGAGCCAUACAGAGUGUUCACCCAGAAUCUGGGAACCAAGCGAAUAUAGGUGUUCAUUGUCCAUUCGUGAUUAUUUUCCCUUAGCCAUGUGAGGCUACAAAAUUAUACACAUGCCAAGUUUCACAAAUACCUUAUGCGACAUUGGCUACAAAAUAUCAGUAAUCUGCAGAUACUGCUUUCUUCUAUUGUUUGCCUAGAAAGAAUGCUAAAACAUAUGCUAAUCUUGUUAGCUAGAGGCAAAUUUUGAUAAGAAUUUCAAUUUUUGAACUACUAAACUCGUGCCACUGACAGCUAAGUAACUACUCCAUUCCACAUUAGCACUAACAGAUACAAUAUUUAUUAUAGAAUGGACUAUGCAACCAAUAAAGCUCAUGGCUGUUGCUCGACAUUUAUCUAUUCAAGAUCAAGAUAAUGGGGAAAAAAUAUGAACACCAAGGCCCAUUUGUCAAGGAAAGGGAAAGAAAAACAAAAUCCAUUGGUCCAUAAUUUUUUUUAGAAAAGCAGGUUAAAACAAUUGGUCCAUAAUGAAGAACUGAAAGCGAGAUACAAAGAAGUAUCUGCAUAGAUAACUGAACAUAUCCAUCAUUUAUCUGUGGCACAUUACCAUAACAGAAAAGGAGUUUGUAGCUUUUAUUGGCCUAAAGAAAUGUGACGGUAAAUACCAGCUACAAACCCAUCAAUAGAAAAUAGCAGCAAGCAUGUUCACUGAACACCAUGGAGCAACAUCCAUCCAGAUAGCAAAAUUAGGUUAACCAAUUUUCGUAGGAAACACAUGGAACUAUUACAUGACAUAUCCUCUUUUAUACAUUGAAGUUAUAUUUGUCAUUCACGUAAUAAAAUAUAAGAACAAAAAAAAAGAGAGCUUAAGAGGAAGGAGGCAUAUAGUUCAAAGUUCAAUGGCAAGGCAUUGUUUAUUAGCAGGUGCGGCACCCUUUUCUUAGAACAACUAUUUCAUUUAUCGAAAAUAUUGUGAUCAUUACACAGAGAUUUACCUUUUUCAUUUAUAAUGCUCUUUGAUUUAGCCCAGAAACCCAUUGUUUACUUCGCCUCAUGACUCCAUUCAAAAAUCUCUCUUUCAAGGGUCGUCAAAUCAGCUAUAACCUAUUCACAAUUAGCAGAUUAAAGACAUGGACAUAAUAGAAUGAAAUAUGUAUUACAUAAACAGAGUGUAGCUGAAGUUGGUACUCUAGCAACUAAACAUCCAGGGCAUGGUUAAUGAACUGUUAAGGGCUACUGAAAAGAAAAGGCACAAAAAGAAUAGUCUUGAGUUUGCUCUUGCAUCAAAAAUGUUGCGAGGGAGGAAGAGAAUGGGAUUCAACACACUUGGAUUAUGCUCGAGGCUGCAGAGUUAUACAGGGCGCUGGCCGCAGCCGAGCGGGAUCGUGGGUGUGCCACUACCGAGCGACGUGCAGCACUACUCAACAAAACUGCUGCACGGUCAAAGCUACCUAAGCCGUAUACAAUACAAGAAUACAGACUCCAUAACUACCUUGGCUAACACCCCCGGGCAGUCGUGAUGUCGGCGGCGGCGACGGAAAGACUGGACCAGAAGUCGGAGAAGACCUCUGACGGCAGCCCUUUCGUCAUGAUAUCCGCGAGCUGCUGCCGUGUGGGGAUGUGAAGGACCCGGAAUUCGCCAAGCGCCACACGCUCGUGAAUGAAGAGAAUAUCCAGCUCGACAUGCUUCGUCCGACGAUGAUGGACGGGGUUGGCCAACAGGUAGACGGCGGAGACGUUGUCGCAAUACACCAGCGUGGCCUUGUUGACGGGAGAGAACAGCUCACCAAGCAGCUGUCGGAGCCAAACACACUCGGCGACGGCGUUCGCGACGCCACGGUACUCGGCCUCGGCGCUGGAGCGUGAGACGAUGGCCUGACGCUUCGAAGACCAAGAGACGAGGGCGUCGCCGAGGUAGACACAGAAGCCGAAGGUGGAGCGCCUGGUGUCUGGGCAACCAGCCCAUUCGGCAUCCGUGAACGCUAGCAUGUCCAGCACACGUGAGGCGCGAAGAUGGAGACCGAGGGCGGGCGUGUUGCGCACGUACCGGAGCACACACUUGAUCAACCCGAGAUGGCACUCGCGGGGAUCGUGCAUGUGCAGGCAGAUCUGCUGGACGGCGUACAUGAUCUCCGGACGCGUGAUCGUCAGGUACUGAAGAGCGCCGGCGAUGCUGCGGUAGACAGACGGAUCGGUGACGCGAGGUCCGUCCGCGGUCGGUGAUACGUCUCCAACGUAUCUAUAAUUUUUGAUUGUUCCAUGCUAUAUUAUAUUCUGUUUUGGAUGCUUAAUGGGCUUUAUUAUACACUUUUAUAUUAUUUUUGGAACUAACCUAUUAGCCGGAGGCCCUGCCCAAAUUGCUGUUUUUUGCCUAUUUCAGUGUUUCGCAGAAAAGGAAUAUCAAAUGGAGUCCAAACGGAAUGAAACCUUCGGGAACGUGAUUUUCGGAACAAACGUGAUCCAGAGGACUUGGAGUCUACAUAAAGCAAUCAACAAGGAGAGCACAAGGCAGGGGGCGCGCCUACCCCCCCCCCCCCAGGCGCGCCCUCCACCCUCGUGGGGCCCACAUUGCUCCACCGACGUACUUCUUCCUCCUAUAUAUAUCUACGUACCCCCAAACCAUCAUAUACGGAGCAAAAACCCUAUUUCCACCACCGCAACCUUCUGUACCCGUGAGAUCCCAUCUUGGGGCCUUUUCCGGCGCUCCGCCGGAGGGGGCAUUGAUCACGGAGGGCUUCUACAUCAACACUAUAGCCUCUCCGAUGAUGUGUGAGUAGUUUACCUCAGACCUUCGGGUCCAUAGUUAUUAGCUAGAUGGCUUCUUCUCUCUCUUUGGAUCUCAAAACAAAGUUCUCCUCGAUUCUCUUGGAGAUCUAUUCGAUGUAAUCUUCUUUUGCGGUCUGUUUGUCGAGAUCCGAUGAAUUGUGGGUUUAUGAUCAGGAUUAUCUAUGAACAAUAUUUGAAUCUCCUCUGAAUUCUUUUAUGUAUGAUUGGUUAUCUUUGCAAGUCUCUUCGAAUUAUCAGUUUUGUUUGGCCUACUAGAUUGAUCUUUCUUGCAAUGGGAGAAGUUCUUAGCUUUGGAUUCAAUCUUGCGGUGUCCUUUCCCAGUGACAGCAGGGGUAGCAAGGCACGUAUUGUAUUGUUGCCAUCGAGGAUAAAAAGAUGAGGUAUAUAUCAUAUUGCAUGAGUUUAUCCCUAUACAUCAUGUCAUCUUACUUAAAGCAUUACUCUGUUCUUAUGAACUUAAUACUCUAGAUACAUGCUGGAUAGCGGUCGAUGUGUGGAGUAAUAGUAGUAGAUGCAGAAUCGUUUCGGUCUACUUGUCGCGGACAUGAUGCCUAUAUACAUGAUCAUACCUAGAUAUUCUCAUAACUAUGCUAAAUUCUAUCAAUUGCUCGACAGUAAUUCGUUUACCCACUGUAAUACUUAUGCUCUUGAGAGAAGCCACUAGUCAAACCUAUGGCCCCCGGGUCUAUUUUUCAUCAUAUUAAUCUUCCAACACUUAGCUAUUUUUAUUGCCGUUUAUUUUACUUUGCAUCUUUAUCAUAAAAAUACCAAAAAUAUUAUCUUAUCAUAUCUAUCAGAUCUCACUCUCGUAAGUGACCAUGAAGGGAUUGACAACCCCUUUAUCGCGUUGGUUGCGAGGUUCUUAUUUGUUUGUGUAGGUGCGUGGGACUUGAGCAUGCUCUCCUACUGGAUUGAUACCUUGGUUCUCAAAAACUGAGGAAAAUACUUACGCUACUUUACUGCAUCACCCUUUCCUCUUCAAGGGAAAACCAACGCAGUGCUCAAGAGGUAGCAGUCGGCAACUUGCCCUUGGUGUCGAUCGGCGUGGGGGACGAGCGGCAGGUGUCCAUGCCAGCGCGAUCCAGAAUGUCAGCGGCAUACUGCUCCUGGCAGAGGAAGAAGCCCGCCGACGUGCGCGUAACUCGGAUGCCGAGGAAGAAGUGCAGAGGACCGAGGUCCUUCAUGGCAAACUCCCCGGUGAGCUGAGCAACGACGUGGCGGAGCGCCGCAGGCGAGGACGCGGUGAGGAUGAUAUCGUCGACGUAGAGCAGCAGGAGCGCAGUAUCGCUCCCAUGGCGACGUGUGAAGAGCUAGGAGUCGGAGCGUGUCGCAGAGAAGCCGAUGGACUGGAGGAAGCCGGCGAAGCGGAGGAACCACGCGCGCGGCGCCUGCUUCAAGCCAUAAAGAGACUUGGAGAGGCAGCAAACGUGGUGAGGCUUGGCGGCAUCGACGAAGCCCGCCGGCUGGAGACAGUACACCUCUUCGUCCAGGGUGCCGUGCAGGAACGCGUUGGAUACAUCAAGCUGAUGGACAGGCCAGUUCCGCGACGCGGCGAGAGUCAGCACCGUGCGGACAGUGGCGGGCUUGACGACCGGCGAGAAGGUCUCGCCGUAAUCAACACCAGCUCGUUGUCGGAACCCGCGGACGACCCAGCGGGCCUUGUAACGCUCGAGAGCUCCGUCGGCCUUGAACUUGUGUUUGAACACCCAUUUGCCGAUGAUCAAAUUAGCGCGGGGGGCACCAGCUCCCAUGUGCGGUUGCGCACAAGAGCUUCAAACUCGUCGCGCAUGGCAGCAAGCCAACGCGGGUCGCGAAUAGCAGCACGGACCGUCGAGGGAACCGGCGAGACCGCAUCAGAUGAAGUAGCGGCGACGAGGCUGGUGUCGUGGUAGCGCGGAUUUGGACGAAGAGCGCCAGUCUGGGCACGUGUCACCAUGCGCCGUGGCACAGGGGGCGUAGCAGCGGGGGACGACGGCACGGAGGAGUUGCUCGACACUGGGCGCACACGCGGGGAAGGCGAAGAGCCGUCAACAGAGGCACGCGUGCCUGGGCUGUCGAUCGCCGCAUCAGCGGCUGCAUGCCGUUGCAUGGCGGGCGUGCUGGGCGGUGAAGACUCCGAGCCGCUGGAUGGGGAUCGAGCGGGGGAGUUUGAACGCGCCGAUCGCGCGCGCUGCAUGCGCACGACGGAGCUGUCCAGUGGCGAUCCAGUGGCCACAGGCGAAUGCGCACAUGGGGUACGAUCGCAAGCCCGCUCAUCAAGCACGGGCACCUGCAAAAUGGACGGAGCAAUCUCAGGCGGUGGCGGAGCGGCGGUAUUAGAGGGUGAUGGAGUGGCGAAAGGGAAGACCGUCUCGUGAAAGUAGACAUGGCGAGAGGUAAUGACACGACGCGAAAUGGGGUCGAAACAACAGUAUCCAUGGUGGUCGGGUGGAUAUUCAAGGAACAAACACGCGAGCGACCGAUGAUCGAGUUUGUGUUUAGCCGUGGAAGUGAGAUUGGGCUAGCACAAGCACCCAAAGACUCGGAGUAAGGAGUAGUCAGGAGCAACCCCGAGGAGAAGUUCGUGCGGGGUGCAAGUUGUGGUAGCAUGACAUGGCCGGCGGUUGAUUAAGUACGUGGCAGUGCUUAGGGCUUCAGCCCAGAACCGAGCAGGCAUGGACGCAUGGAACAAAAGAGCGCGAAUGCUAUCGUUGAGUGUACGCAAGAUGCGCUCUGCCUUUCCGUUUUGCUGGCUUGUGUAAGGGCAGGAUAGGCGUAGGUGUGUGCCAUGACGAGCUAGGAGAGAACGAACAGCAGCACUAUCAAACUCACGUCCAUUAUCUGUCUGAAGAGAGAAAACAGGAAGCUGGAACUGCGUCUUCACAUAGGCAUAGAAGUCUAAUAGAACCGGAAGCACAUCAGAUUUUCGCCUGAGUGGGAAGGUCCAGACGUAAUGGGUAUAAUCAUCUAGCACAACCAAAUAGAAUUCAUAACCAGAUAUGCUUACAAUCGGAGAUGUCCAUACAUCAAGGUGCAAAACAUGGAAAGGAAACAUGCUACUACUGGAAGAACGACUAAAAGGUAGACGGGCAUGUUUGCCCAAACGACAAGCAUGGCACAAGUGAGGCGCGGACUUGCUGAACCCAACAGAGAGGUGGUCGGCGAUGGAACGAAGCGAGGCAUGUCCAAGACGCUGGUGCCACAGGUUGGAGUCGGCGAGGCCGGCAAAGGCAUGACGAGGAGCAAGCAAGGGACGCCAAACGGGAUAGAGAUCACCAUCUAAGUCACAUCGGAGAAUCACCUCCUUGGUUCGAAGAUCCUUGACAGAGAAACCAAACUUGUCAAACUCGACAGAGAUAGGGUUAUCGCGACAAAUUUGACGAACAGAAAGCGGGUUCGUGAUGAGAGAAGGUGAGACGAGGACAUUACGUAGUUGGACAGGAGAGGUACCCUUGAUGAGAGCACCGUCGCCGAUGUGGGUGAUGGGGAGGUGAGCGCCGCUACCCACAAUGAUUUGAGAAGGCGAAUGAAAGGGGCGAAGAGAGUGAAGAUUACCAGGGUUUGAAGACAUGUGGGCGGAGGCGCCGGAAUCGAGGUACCACUCGCUGGAAGUGCCUGAUGAAGACGGCCCCGCGGAGGCGCUGUGGAGCGCUGCCUGCAGCGACUGCAUGUCCCACGCUGGUGGUGGCGCGGUGGACGAACUGGCGCCUGGAGACCCGUAGGAGGGAGGCGGGCCGUAGACAGGCGGAGGCCCGCCGGGAGCGCCAUAGCCAGGAGGCGCGCCACCCGGAGCGCCAUAGCCAGCAGGUGAGCCACCCGGAGCGCCGUAGGGAGCGGCGAACAUCGCCUGUUGAUGCGGCGUGCCCGGCCGGGGUCCGAGGACACCGGUGCCUGGGGCGCGCCACUGCAUCGGCCAGGCUUGGACGAGGCCCGUCCAGGAGUUGGCACCCAGCGCCGGAGCAGGGCAGACGGGCGCGCGAGGCGCCGGUGCAGCUGGUGAAGCAGGAGCGGCGCCGUUGCCAUGGCCGCGGCGGCGACCACGCCCGCGUCCGUGCGCGCUGUUGUCAUUGCCGGGAGGUGGGUGAGCUAGAGCCGGAGCUGGGGCCGGCGAAGAAGGAGAGCCACGACCAGCCCAGAGGGCGUGGGCAGACUACAGACGAGCGGUCUGUGCAGCGCGGUGUUCCUCUAAGAGAAGGAACGAGCGCACCUGGAGAAACGAGGGCAGCGGGUCCUGGGAGGUGAUAUGGGGGAUCACGGAGUGAUACUGGCGGUUAAGACCGCGGAGGAGAUGGAAAACCUGACAAGGAUCCGUCACCGGCUGGCCGAGGUCGCAGAGCUGAUCAGCGAAGCUCUUGAGCCGGGUGCAGUAUUGCAUCACGGUCAGGUCCCCCUGGACGACGGCGUGAUACUCGGCGUCAAUGUACACGGCGCGCGCCAGCUGAUUGUUGCGGAAGAUGUCGUCGAGGGCGCGCCACACGGCCAAGGCGGUGUCCUCGGGCUGCAUGAGCGCCUCCUGGAGCUCCGGCGAGAUCGUGGAGUACAGCCACUGGACAACGGUGUGGUCCGCCAUCUGCCACUCAGGAUCUCGGGGGCGAGGGACCGAGCCCGAACAUGCCGAGCACCGUACCAAAGUGGCGCCUCCACUAAGAGUAGUUGCCGGCGAGAAGAUCCAGGGCGACAGGAACGUGGCGGCGAAUAUCGAUGGUUUGGAGGAUGGCGGAGGAAACCGACGGGGGAGGUGGAAGGAUAGGUGGGGCGACGGGCUGGGCGACGGGAGCAGGCUGCUGAAGUGGUUCGGCGUUGAGGACGCCAGCGGCCGCAUCGAGAACACCGGCGGCGCCGUCGACAGAGGAGCGAGGAGAGAGGACAGGGUUGUCAUCCAUGGUGGAAGCGGAAGCGGGAUCGGGAGCCUGCGAGAAGGGAUUGAGCAGGUCCGAGGCGUCUGAUACCAUGUUGCGAGGGAGGAAAAGAAUGGGAUUCAACACACUUGGAUUAUGCUCGAGGCUGCAGAGUUAUACCGGGCGCUGGCCGCAGCCGAGCGGGAUCGUGGGCGUGCCACUACCGAGCGACGUGCAACACUACUCAACAAAACUGCUGCACGGUCAAAGCUACCUAAGCCGUAUACAACACAAGAAUACAGACUCCAUAACUACCUUGGCUAACAAAAAACAUCAGCAGGAGCAACUCAUCUUGCAGUCUCCUAGUUAAAUUCAUACUCCCUCCUGUCCUUUUUACUCCGCAUAUUAGAUUUGUGUCAAGUCAAACUUUGCAAAGUUUGAUCAAAUUUAUAUUAAAAAGUAUCAAUAUCUACAAUACAAAAUAUAUAUACUAUGAAACUACAUUUUGUAAUGAAUCUAACAACGUAGAUUUAGCAUUGUGAAUGAAUGUUAAUACUUUUGUCUACAAGUUUGGUCAGAGUAGAGAUACUUAGAUUUUGGAGAAACUUAUAUAUAUGCGGACUAAAAAAGACCGGUGAGAGUACAUAACAUCAAAGGUAUGUGUCUAAUCCUGUGGAAUUACCUGAAAAAAAGAAGUAAACGUUGCGUCAUGUAAGUAGCUCAUAAUUAUGCGCAUUAGCUAAACCUGAACCUCAUCUAGAAGGCAUUGAUGGACCCACAAAAUCAACAACACUGCAAGUCCACUGCAAAUUUUUUUUAUUGAAAGUUUUGACAUAACAUUUUAUCAAUAGGAUUCAACACUGCCUACAAUGAGCACAAAUCCGAGGCCGAGCUCGUGGUGGCCCCCGCAAUCCCCUUGCCAAGGCUAGCGCCGUCGGAAGGGGAACCAGAGCCCCGAGCUUCGGACGCUGCUGGAUGUCGAGUGAGCUGUACCGCCGAAGCUAACGGGCGCUGGACACCGUCAAGUAGGCAUGGCAUGGAGCGGCGGGUGUCCUCGAUCUGACCACAGCUCGAGGGCGACCGCGGGGGCAAUUCUUCAAGUACACUAACUGCAUACCGAAAAAGGCUUGCGCCCCACUAUAUUAAUAUAGCAACCACCCGAUAUAGCCAGAAGUGCGAUGCUGGGGCAAACAGCACAAUCAUGCCCAAAAGAAAAACAAGAGAAAAGCAAGAGAAAGAAAUGCCGGCAGCACCGGAUGAACGAAAGGUGAGGCAUCCCGGAACCGCUGCGCCCACCGGAAACAUCCACCACGCUCCAAUGCCAUCGAGUCGCCGCGAACCAAGCAACACCUUCAAGAAGGACUGCGACGACGACGACGCUGGUGCCCGGACGAAUCCUAGGAUUUCUCCCGGUACACGGAGGGAAGCGGGCGAGAGGUACUCCCGACGCCCUUCAAGAAGGUUGAUGGCGCCCGCAGGCGUCACCGCAUCGGUGCCGGGCGGACCCGAGAGGGAUUUCGCCCUACCCCUCAUACCCACAACCCAGGACCAACCGGCGGCUCCACCACGCCAACCGCCCACCAACCUGCGCCACCACAGUCACGAGGACACCACCGUCGUCUCUCCACCGCAGACGCUGCGAGGCCGGCCGAACCAAACGAGACCACCGCCGAUAGGGGCCAGGAGCACCACAGCCACGUGGGAGGGGACAACCUCCACUGGCACAAGCCGUAGCAGACCGGACGCAGGCGCGGGAGCACGCCGGACUCCCUGCCCAGCCGGGCCCAGAUUGGGCCCGUUAAGCUCCUGCUGCCGCGCUGCAGCCGACGCAGCGCAGAGCCGCCGAUCCCAACGACCGCAUCCUGCCAGCCCAGCCGGAGGAGACCCGCCGAAGGCCAGACCAACCCGCCCUGACCCAGAUCAGGCCCAAAAGGGCCCAGAUCUGGGCCUGCAGGGCUCCGUCGGCCAACCCCCGCCGCCAAAGGGCCGCGCCGCCGCCGAAUCUGCGCCCGAUCUACACCGGAGCACUGCCCGCCGAGGCGCACCGUCGCCGGAAACCGCCGCCCGAGCUGGGGAACCGUGAGGGGGAGAGGAAGAGGGCCGCCACCGCCGGCCUCGGCACGGCGCCACGCGGGCAACGCCCGGCCACGCCAGCCAGCGGCAGCGGCGGGAGGAGGGGUGGGAGGUGGGGGCUGGGCGGCGAGGGGAGGGAGGGCCGCCCCGGUCGCCCCGCUUGGGGGUGGGGGGCGCGCGGGGGGGGAGGGUACGGGAAGAGGAUAUCAGAGGAAUCACACUAACUGCAUAAGCGCAGACCUUUGCGAAAAAGGCACAAAUUAGAAUAAAGUUCAGAAGGGUGUAAAUUGAUAAAAUGUACUAUCAAAGUUCGAGUGCGGAUGAAAGGAUUUUGCUCGAGUGCAAUAUUAGUGUUCUGUAGCAGUGCCAUGAGGGGCAAGUUCGUGAAACUGAAAGAGUUUUCAAUACAUUACAGUUCUCAAACUACUAAGAAAUAGUAAUACGUGUGAUGUUAUGGCCUCCCAUUAGUGAUUUCUAGCAGUGCCAUGAGCGGCGAGUUCGUGAAACUGAAAGAGUUGCCAACACAUUUAUACAGUUCUCAAACGACAAAGAAAUAGUAAUACUACGUGUGAUGUUAAUAUGUUACGGCCUCCCAAGCCUGUUUCUAAUUUCAGCAAGUAUUGAGGGGGAUCUCGUCAUCAACUCCAAGAAACCAUCCGUGAGCGCGACCUUCUUGAAAUUCCCAUCCGCCACCACGAAGUUGAUGCACUCUGUCUUCAGCUCCGGGCAGUUGUACGUGUCGGCACAGUCCAACACGGCGGCGACCGUGUCCACCGACACGUUGUCCAGCAGCCUCCGGGCGCACAGAAGCUUCAGCCGGUUCAGGGCGUACCGGUCCGCCGCGGCAAGAAGGGACCGGAGCGCCUCGUCCUCGCCGGGGUCGCCUCCAAGACCGGCGGGAAGGUCGUCCGUGUAUAUGAAGCGGAGCAUCGCCAUGAACGUCUCGGGGUCCAUGUCGCGCACCGUGACGGGCGACGACGGCGAGGUGGCCUCCAGCAUCGGGCCGCUGAACAUCGCCUUGAAGACCCGCGAGCGGGCGGCGAGAACAGAACGGUGGGCGCGCAGCGGCGCCGCCUGGUCGUCGCCCACGACGAACGACACGUCCGUCAGUGCGGCGGAGUCCAGCAGGCCGCCGAGAUCAUCUCCUAUGUCCGACGGCGGCACGGCUAUCCCCUUUUUCAUUGGGAGGCGCUUGCCGUCGUCGACAACCAAGACCGAGCACCUGACCGUGACGCGCCCAUUGCUCCUCGCGUCGUAGUUGUGGAGAUCUCUCUGGUGGACGAACUGAUCGAACCCCCAGAAGUCAUUAUCGCGGUGGUCGUCCUCAGGUGAGUUACUGAAGCCGAAGACAUGCACGGCCCGCCUGUGCCACAAGAAGCGUGACGCCCCCGCCGCCAGCUGGUCGUUGCCCGUAAUGGCGGCGUCGAAGAUGGCCGUGACGUUCUUGGCUUCGUCCAUGAGCUCGAGGAACACGGACACGAAGCUUCCGACGUCGUUCGGGUAGCAGGCUAUCCGCCAUUCGUACCCUCCGGCGGAGAAGAUGUCGGAGUGGAAAACGUGGUCGCAUGGGUACUGAUCGAUCGACAAGUAGUUGAGCUCGAACUCCGCGGCACCGGUGGAAUCCGACAUUGCCGGACGAUUGAUCGAUUAUACGUACAAAGCUAGCUGCUACUACUGUUUUGUAGACAGAAUCGUGGGCUCCGUGCGUUAGGGUUUGGGUGUUAGAAUUGACCACAAUUAUGUUAGCUUGUCCGGCACGACUCGUAAAAAUCACCGAUUCGUAGCGGUACUAGUUAGCUUCUGGUAAAUUGACAUAGCUCUGUUUUUGUUUGUUGUUUUUCUUUUUUCGCUGUUUUCCUUUUUUUAGCGCUGCUGUACAUCGUGUUUAUUGCCAGCACUAAGCAACUCCAAUGGGGCGACCCAUUUCGUCCGCGGCCGUCCGUUUCGGUCGGCGCGGACUAAAAAGCCGGCCCAACGCGCCGACCCAAACGGACACGCGUCCGCUUUCGUCCGCCUGCCUAUCCAUUUCCGGCUCAUUUUUUAGCCUGAUUUGCGUCGGCGCGGACACAAGCCGGACGCGCGCGCUCGCCCUCUUUCCUCACCGGGCCCGCUAGUCGUGGCACAGUGGAACACCCUCGCCCGCCUGUUAGGUCGCCGACGUCGCCAGCCAUUUUUUCAGUACAUAGAUAGUUUUAGCGUACACAGAUAAAAAAAAAAGACCACUAGUCGUCGCUUUCUCACUCCGACUCGGUAAUGUCCUCCUCCGACGUUUGAAGGUAGGCGUCAGCAAGCUGCUCGUCUUCAAAGUCCCAACCCGACGUUUCUCGUAGCUUCAGUUUCAAUUGAGCUGCCUGCUUCCGCGGACGCUUGUCCUCCAGAUAGGCGGCUCGCUCCCUCCUCCUCGCGUCCCUCUCCGAUCUCAAUUGCUUGUAGAACUGGCGCUCGUCGAUGAUGUCCUGCGGGUAGCCUCCGCGCCACACCACCAAGGCUUCCACGUCCUUCUCUGCGAUGGCGAGGCGACGCUGCCGCCUUCGGUGGACACGACGAUCCUCGUCGGUGAAAAGCCACGGGAGAGGCGCCAGAUCCCGUGCCCGCUGGCUCGACACGUUGGGAAAAUUCAUAUCCCGACGAGGCCUCAGGAGGCGCCACGCCGCCGCGUCGUGCGCGCGGGCCACCUACUCUGCGGCGUCGAAGGUGCCGAGGACGAGACGUUUCUCGCGAAACCAGAUCUCGGCGGAGAAGGCGCCGGAGCGGCGCUCGCGGACUCCGCGAAAAUCCGAAGCGCCCAGGCGGCGGAUCGACAUGGUGGCGCAGAGGCGGCGAGAGUGGGCGGCCGACAGAGUGUGGAAGGAGCGUCUUCUUUAUAGCGAGCGCCGGCCGCGGCGCGGGAAAGCCCGCGCGCUGGAGCGCCAAAACCAGCGCGCGCUAGGCCGCUUUCCCCCGCGCGAGCGAACCUUUCCCGCGCGCUGGAGCGCCAAAACCAGGGCGACGACAUGAUGUUAAACGCGCGCGGUCAUGAAAUGGGUCGGCCCGUUGGGCACACUGCCGACCCAAAACUAAAAGAGGGCGCACGGCGGGCGGGCGGCCGACCCAAACGGACAAAAAGCGGACAAAAAGCCGUCCGUUUGGGUCGGCCCGUUGGAGUUGCUCGAAGGGCAUAGCGCACCUCCCACCCUCGCACCCCCCGUAGACUGGCGUACUGGCGUAGCUAAUGUGAUCUAUUAUUUAUUUUUGCCUUUUUUUCUUUUUCCCUUUUUCUCUUACCGUUUUUGUUUUUCUUCUUGUUUUCUUUUAUAUUUUUUUAUUAUUUUCUAUACUUUUAUGUAUUAUAAAAUUUGUUCUAACAGAUGCUGAAUUUUUUUAAAUACACACCGAACAUCUUUUCAUGUACGGUGAAUACUGUUUUUUAAAUACACACGGAAGAAUUUCAUAAAUAUAUGAACAUUUUUUUUCAAAUACACAUGAACACAUAUUUAAUAUAUCAUGAACUUUUCUAAUAUGCAUUGAACUUUUCUUCUAUGCACAGUAAACUUUUUUAAUAUGUAUGGUGAACCUUUUACGAGUACACACUUAAUAAUUUUAAAUAGCGUUCGACUACACAUUUUGUUGUUCCUUUUUGCGUGGCCAAUUAUUUUCUUUUUUCUUUAAUUAAUCCGGGAGUAGUGGCGGAUCUAAGAUCAUAAAACUAGGGUCUAGUGCAGUGGUGUGACUCUUUUUUGCAUUAGUUGCGCAUCACAAGACACAUAAAAAAUGACACCGCCAAAUCUGGGCCUUUUGGGGGGAAAAGUCUACUAAAAAGGUAGCUUUUAAAGAAAACCCAUGGUAAAAAAGAAAAAAGAGCUCAGUCGCAUGUCAACGAUGGACUUACAACUGGGACAAUAAAAAGAGUCAGCCCGGUCACUAGUCAAUGAUGGAUUUGCAAUUGGGACAAAAGAGUUCGAGCCCAGUUGGGAGUCGACGAUAUACUUGCAAUUGGAUCAAAAAAAUGUCAGGCCUAGUUGCGAGUGAAAAGUGGAUUUGCAACUGGCGCAAAGAAAAGUUUGGCCCAGUUAUGAGUCGAUGGUAUGCUUGCAAGUGGGGUAUAAAAAGGUCACGGGCCAGUUGCGAGUUGAGGGUGGACUGCAACAGGGAUAAAAAAAGUCAAAUUCUAGUUGCGAGUCGAUGGUAUGCCUGCAAGUGAGGGCAAAAGAGGGUAAAUGGCCAGUUGCGACUUGAAGGUGGACAUGCAACUGGGACCAAAAAAUCGGACACCAGUUGCGAGUUGAUGGUAUGCUUGCAAGUGGGGCAAAAAAGGAUCACAUGCCAGUUACGAGUUGAGGGUGGACAUGCAACCGGGACAAAAAAAAGUUCGGCUCCAGUUACAAGUCGAUGGUAUGCUUGCAAGUGGGGUAAAAGAGGGUGAAAGGAUCGAUAUAGUUGACUAGAGGGGGGUGAAUAGGCAUAUAACAAUUUUUAGCUUUUCUUUACCAAUUUAAACUUUGCAUCAAAGUAGGUUGUCUAGAUAUGCAACUAGGUAGGCAACCUAUAUGAUGCAAUAACAAUAAGCACACACGCAAGCAAGAGAUACAACACAAAUAAGCUUGCACAAGUAAAGGCACGAGAUAACCAAGAGUGGAGCCGGUCAAGACGAGGAUGUGUUACCGAAGUUCCUUCCCUUGAGAGGAAGUACGUCUCCGUUGGAGCGGUGUGGAGGCACAAUGCUCCCCAAGAAGCCACUAGGGCCACCGUAUACUCCUCACGCCCUCACACAAUGCGAGAUGCCGUGAUUCCACUAUUGGUGCCCUUGGAGGCGGCGACCGAACCUUUACAAACAAGGUUGGGGCAAUCUCCACAACUUAAUUGGAGGCUCCCAACGAUACCACGAAGCUUCACCACAAUGGACUAUGGCUCCGCGGUGACCUCAACCAUCUAGGGUGCUCAAACACCCAAGAGUAACAAGAUCCACAAGGGAUUAGUGGGGGGAUUCAAAUUUCUCUUGGUGGAAGUGUAGAUUGGGGCCUUCUCAACCAAUUCCUAGAGAAUCAACAAGUUUGAUUGGCUAGGGAAGGAGAUCGGGCGAAAAUGGAGCUUGGAGCAACAAUGGAGCUUGGAGGUGAAAGAUGUGGUCAACUAGAGGAGGAAGACACCCCUUAUAUAGUGGAAGAACAAAUCCAACCGUUAUCCACCAACUCAGCCUGCGCAGCGCGGUACUACCGCACCCGGGGCGCGGUGCUACCGCAGCGGCACGCGGUACUACCGCACCUGAGGCGCGGUACUACCGCAGGGCCCCGCGGUACUACCGCCCACGCAGCAGAGACCAGAACAGCCAAAGGUGCACUGAAGCAGAGGGCGGUAGUACUGCUGGCGCGGUACUACCGCUCACCCUUGCGGUACUACCGCAAGGCAGAGACUGUCCAGGGAUGGGAAGGCACGGAUAAAAAAAAUUACAUCCGUGGCUACUUCCGCAGAGUUGGAGUCGAUGCAAAAACCCGACGCGGUAGUACCGUAAGCCAGCAGCGGUACUACCGCGCGGGGCGCGAAUGUAAAAAAUUACAUCCGCCCCUUACUGCCGCGUACUUGCGGAUCUAAGUCAGGGACCACGGUACUACCGCUUACUAGAAGCGGUACUACCGUGGGCCCUUGGGUACAACCGCACCAGCGGGCGGUACUACCGCAAGGUCCUGCGGUACUACCGCUCUAGGGAGCAGUACUACCGCAUGCCCUAGUUCGGCAAGCAAGAGCAAUAUUUGCAUAGACAAGGAAAACUUAGGAUGCUCCAAAGGCUAGAGGAAAGGAGGUGCAAAGGGAGAUGUGUACGUGAUGAAUCCACCCAACCUUUCCAACGCGGACCCUCUCUUAAUAGUAUGGUUUCCCUACGACUCAAUACCACCGAAAAGAACCGAAGAGAAACGCCGUCUUCCAUAGCCUUCGAGGGGAACCAAAACAUUUUGUGCCUAGUCAAUAUAUCUGAAAUAUUCGAUGCACAUGAUUAGUCCGCAAAAGCAUUGUCAUCAAUCACCAAACCAACUAAGGGAUAAAAAUGCCCUUACAGAGGGUCAAUGGCCAGUUGCGAGUGGAGGAUGGACAUGCAACCGGGAUAAAAAAAGUCAGACUCCAGUUGCGAUUCGAUGGUAUGCUUGCAAGUGAGGCAAAAAAGAGGGUCAAUGCCUAGUUGCAAGAUGAGGGUAGACAUGCAACCGGGACAAAAAAAGUCAGACUCCAAUUGCAAGUCGAUGGUAUGCUUGCAAGUGGGACAAAAGAGUGUCAAUGGCCUGUUGCAAGUUGCGGGUGGACAUGCAAUUGGGAUAAAAAAGUCAGACUCCAGUUGUGAGUCGAUGGUAUGCUUGCAAGUGGGGCAAAAGAGGGGCAAUGGCCAGUUUCGAGUUAGUGGUGGACAUGCAACCGUGACAAAAAAAAGACAGACUCCAGUUGCGAGUCGAUGGUAUGCCUGCAAGUGGGGCAAAAGAGGGUCAAUGGCCAACUGCGAGUUGGGGGUGGACAUGCAACCAGAACAAAAAAAGUCAGACUCUGGUUUGCGAGUCGAUGGUAUCCUUGUAAGUGGGGCAAAAGAGGGUCAAUGGCCAGUUGCGGGUUGUGGAUGGACAUUUAACCGUGACAAAAAAUAUCGAACUGCAGUUGCGAGUUAAUGAUAUGCUUGCAAGUCGGGAAAAAAGGAUCACAGACGAGUUGCAAGUUGAGGGUGGACAUGCAACUGGGAUAAAAAAAAGUCGGAUUCCAGUUGUGCGUCAAGGCUGGACUUGCAACCCGGACAAAAAUGGAUCAGCCCUAGUUGCGAGUCAAGGGUGAACUUGCAACUAGGUCAAAGAUCACCUGAUUAUGUGUCACGAGCGGACCUGCAACUAGAAAAAAAUGAACGGGGUGAGUAGCGUAUCGAGGACAGACUUGCAACUAAAACAAAAAUGGGUCGAACUCUGCUUGCAUGUCGAGGACGGAGUAGCAACCGGGAGAAAGUUAGUACACACGUAAAUUCAAAAUAAAUUUAAGAAUUAGAAAAAUAUAUUUACAAAUGUAUAAAAUUGCCAAUUUUAAAAAUAUUCAUGGUUUGAAAAAUGUUGAAAAUUUGGAAAGAUGUUAAAAAAUUCAAAUAGACAAAAUAAUACAAGUAUACAUUUAUAUAUUUAUAUGUUAGUUUGUAGAACAUUUAUAUAAGUCUAAAAACAAACUAACAAUUCUCCUUGAAUUUGUGAGAAACAAUGAGAGAGAAGGCAAGUCACUAAUUGAGGAGUACUCGUUGCAAAGAUCACUGCAAUUCCCUUGGUUGCGACAAGUGGCGCAACGCGCCACUUGUCGCAACCUGGGAGUUUUCCCUUUUUUCGUAGAUCCGUUUAUUCAAAACGUAUUAUCUCUCAAACCGUGUAUCCAAAUCUCGAAUCGCUUUCACCGUUGGAUUCCUCGCGUCGAGAUCUUCAAAACUAGAUCCCAUGUUGAUAGGUUUUGACGAAUUUUUUUUCACGAAAAAACCGGACGAAUAAACUGAGGCCCUGUUCGGAUUGAAGGAAAGAAAAAAAACAUGGGAUUGUGGUAAAAUGAAGGAAAUGAAAAGGAAAUGAGGAGCAAAACUUUGUGGCGAAAAACUGUACCGUAUCGAUUUGAUUGGCUGUUCGGAACGUAGGAAAACUUGGAAAGAGAUUCUACCUAUGUUGGACCCACCAAAGGAAUAUAAUAUGUUAAAAGCACCCAGUUUAUGUCGUAGAUCCAUCAUAUUCAUACAUGACGUGGGCCCAUGGGGGAUCAGAUGCAGGGUUGAGCAGGCUUUUCCCUUCCCCUUGGCUCGGGCCUCCGCGAACACAAGAGGUGGGAGUGCAUGUUAUUUUUCCUCCAGAAAGUACAGGCAGACAAGACUUUACAGAGGAAAGGAAGCGAUGAAUCCUUGGUUCCGAACGCUCCGAACGAAAGAAUUUCUAUAGGAUCAGCGUUCCUCCAAAUUUCCUCCACGAUUCCUAUGUACCGAACAAAAGCCUGAACCGGGAGCAUGGGUUUUUUCCCUUUCCGAAAGAGGCACGUCCGUGCCUCUCACGAAAUCACAACCGUGUCUCUCGCGGAAGCAAUUGUGACUCUCGCGGAAUAAAAAAAAGAAAACACGUUUUUUUUUUGUUUCCGAGGAGGCACGGCCGUGACUCUCGUGAAAGCACAAUUGUGCCUCUUGCGGAAGCAAAACCGUGACUCUCGCGAAAGCACAACUAUGCAUCUCGCGGAAGCAAAACCGUGACUCUCGCGAAAAAAACAGAAAACACGUUUUUUUCUGUUUCCGAGAGGCACGGUCGUGACUCUCGCGAAAUCACACCCGUGCCUCUCGUGGAAGCAAAACCGUGACUCUCGUGAAAUAAAAAAACAAAAAACGCGUUUUUUUCCGUUUUCAAGAGGCACGGCCGUGACUCUCGCGAAAGCAAAACCGUGCCUCUCGCGGAAGCAAAACCGUGACUCUCGCAAAAGAAAAAAAAUAGUUUUUCGCGCAAAAAAGAAAAUCAAAAUUUUUUUUAAUUGAAAAGCUAAGGAAGACCGGUGAAAAACCAAAACGUCAAAAAAACCGUUUAAAAACCGUAAAUGCGUGCAGAAAAAUAAAAAAAUAAAAUUCGGAAGGAGCGCCCAGAGCAUGACACGUGGAGAAUGGCUGAGAGCGCCAAAUGACGCUGAUCGUUGCGAGGCUUCCGAAGAAGCGCUCGUUAACUAGUUGCUCCCGAAUAAAUGAGGGUUUUAACUUAGUUGUUCUCUUUCUCAACCAUAGGUUUUAGAAAGAAAAAAGCAGCCCAAAACACAAGACGUGAGAAAAACAUUAAAAGGCCACACUCCGAUCGAAAGCCCACAAGGAAACAAAAACAAACAUGAAGCGAGAUAGCCUCGGGCGCUCGAAAAACAAAACAACGUACUGUAGCACAAAUUUUAAAGAGUUUUCAUUCAACGGUGAUGGAGUUAGAUGUGAGAUAGUUAUCUCACAUCUAGAUGUGAAAUCAUCCUGGGUGAGGAAUAGUUAUUCUUUAUCCUUCUCUAUUUUUACAUCAAUGCGCUGUAUUUUUACGUUUCGUAAAUUUUAUCUUAUUUCAUACAUAAAAAGAAAACGUAAGAAAAUAUGUACUCACUGUAAAAAAUAUUUUAUGUUACUAAAAUUACGAACGUAAAAACAUAGUGUAAAACAUACAUAAAAUAUGAUUUUUCUGGUCUUAUAACCUAUAUUUUUGUUUUUUAUACCUACCAAAUUUUACAUAUUGAAUCAAUAUGCAUGUAACUAUUUAUAUUCUAAACAUAAUUUAUUUAGAAAAUGAUCGUACGAUUACCUCGGAUGAAGAAUAACUUAGUCUGCACCUCGGGUGAAGAAUCCCACCGGAGGACCUCACCAGCCCUGGGUUCGCCGGCUGCUGCCGCACAGCUAGGACGCCGCCGUGGCUGCCGCACGAAGACACCCCGCACGAGGCACGCCAGCCGCCUGAUGGGGGAUCCGCCGCUUCCCUCCUGCCCUAGCCCGUUAGGCGUCGAGCGCCGCCACCACCGCGGCCAGUGCUGGCGGCAGUGGCGGCAGAGAUCUGCUUCGCGGGAGGGCUGGCGGCGCGAGGAGUUGGCCCCCCGGCGUCGCCCUGGGUGGCGGCGCAAGGGGGUCGAGCGGGGGUUGGGGUCCUACAUGGCAAAAUUUAGUGUGAGAAUUUGAAUACUGCAACAAGAAAGCUGCUAGCUAGUAACGAGUAAGACUACUAGUGGAGUAGAGUAGUAUUAGUCCAAUGAGAUAAACUGAGACGUACUUACAUGCAUGAUGAAAGUUUAAGGUAACAAUCAAUCACAUACAGGUGUGUCACUCUGCCUGCGCCAUCCAGGCCCUGGCGUAGCCAGUGACACCUGCGACCAUCUGGAGCUCCUCGUCGUCCUCGUCCCAGGAGAAAGCACAUGACGUUGCACACGAACUCAGGACACAAAAUGUGCUAACUUAUGCCAUGUUUCAGGGCACAAGAUGUGCUAAUUUUGACAUGCAACAGUUUACAUUUCCGUAUGAUCACCGUAUCGAUUUUUAGUACUAGAAUUAGUACUGCAGUACUCACUCACCAUAUUUAGACAGUACUAACUCAUAUGGUCGCAAUACUGAAAACUGGUAUUUUGCUAGAGGGACAUCAAUUGUCACUGGCUAAAUAGUCUUCUAAAAUUUCAUUGUAAUAAUAAUCGGAGCUAUUACAAUAAAUUGAUCGGAUGUUUCUCUCUGAGUUGAAGACUAAUAAUUCUUUAGAAAACAAGACUUUUUAUGCAAAUAUUAAUUCCAACGGUCAGAUCAGUCUAGAUCGAGGACGAUGAAUUGGCGGACGCGUGGUAGCUAAGGAUAUUAGUUUUGCACUUUGAUUACAAACAUUAGCUACAUUUGUCCUUAUGGUCAGAAGCUAGCAUAUCUCUUUUCAAAAUGGAUCAAUGAAGCAAUAGUACACUAGCGCCGCUAUAUAUUUGGGAAGUGUCGGGAGCUAGCCAUCAUCAGUCUCUCCCUUGCACCUUGUUGGUUUGCCACUGCUUUAAACAACACGAAAAUACGUACGUAGUGGAGGAGAAAGGAAGAAUAAGGUGUAAAAGGGGGAAAUGAAGUAAAUAACUCUUUGAUACUACUAGUAUUGUAGUACAUCCAUACAAAAACAUUCAAAUGGAGGAGAAAUAUCUAGUGAAUUGUAGUAAUCAUAAAUCUGAUAGUGAGGGAAUAGGAGGUGUUGGGGAAGAAAUAUACGUUUGACAACAGAGUUAGGCAACUGUAUGUGCUUGAGGUUCAAUCAUAGCUAAGCUUUAACCUUCCUAUUGGAUGAGAAUCUGAGACACCACCUCUGCUACAUUGGAUGAGAAUCCUCUGAGAUCUGCGACAGCAUGGACUUAUCCUUCCUCCAGAUUCCUAUUCAUGGAGUCAACUAGAGGUAGUUUCACUUGGCGACCAUUCUCCUCUUAGGUAGCGGCCAGAGUUUGCAGUUGCAGGACGCAAGGUCGUUGCUUGUGUCUCAAGGUCAUGCACGUUUCAUACUGUAGCCCAAGAUGCCGCAACAGUUCGGAGAAAGCUCAAACAUCUAGUCAUGUGAGGAUACAAAAUUAUACAGCUGUGAAGUUUCACAAAUAGCUUAUGCGACACCAGCUACAAAAUAUCAAUACUCUGCAUAUACUUCUUUCUUCUAAUGUUUGCCUAGAGAGAAUGCCAAAACAUAUGCUAAUCUUGUUAGCUAGAGGCAAAAUUUGAGAAGCAUUUGAAGUUUUCAACAAGUGGAUUGGAGUAGCGACAGAUGUUGCUAGGAUGGUGGCUUCACACUACCUGAUGUACUACUUUGUAAAGUCUUCGUGAAUAAUUAAUAAAAUGGCUGCAUGCAUUGCCCAGAUGCGGAGAUCGGGGGUAAUCCUCCUUUUCAAAAAAAAAAAUAUGAAGUUUUCAACAACUAAACUCGUGUCAAUGACAACUAAGUAAUUACUCCACUCCAGAUUAACACUAACAGAUAUAAGAUUUAUUAUAGAUUGGACUAUGCUCGACAUUUAUCUAUUCAUGAUUAAGAUGAUGGGGGAAAAUGUGAACACCAAGGCCCAUUUCUCAAGGAAAGGGAAAGAGAAACAUAAUCCAUUGGUCUAUAAUGAAGAAUUGAAAGCGAGAUACAAAGAAGUAUCUGCAUAGAAAACUGAACAUAGACAGUCAGUACCAGCUACAAACCCAUCAAUAGAAAAUAGCAGCAAGCAUGUUCACUGAACACCAUGUAGCAACAUCCAUCCAGAGAGUAAAAUUAGGUUAACCAAUUUUCAUAGGAAACACAUGGAACUAUUAUAUGUCAUAUAUUGGGACAAACUUUUUCGGACAGAGGGAGUAUAAGAACAGACAAAAAGGGAGCUUAAGAGGAAGGGGGCAUAUAGUUCAAAGUUCAAUGGCAAGGCAUUGUUUAUUAGCAGGUUCAACACCCUUUCCUGAGAAAACUAUUUCAUUUAUCAGACAAUGGAAAAAGCAACAGCUAGAUGAUAAUAGAAAAUAGUGUGAUCAUUAGAUAGAAAUUUACCUUUUUCAUUUAUAAUGCUCUUUGCUUUAGCCCAGAAACCCAUUGUUUACUUCGCCUCAGGACUUCAUUCAGAAAUCUCUCUUUCAAGGGAUCGUCAAAUCAGGUAUAAACUAUUCACGAUGAGCAGAUUAAGGACAGGACAUAAAUAGAAUGAAAUAUGUAUUACAUAAACAGAGUGUAGCUUAAGUUGGUAAUCCCUUUGUUCCAUAUUAAGUGUCACUGAUUAUGUACAACUUUGUACUAAAUCAGCGACGCUUAAUUGGAAUGGAGGGAGUAAAAAACAUUCAGGACAUGAUUAAUGAACUGUUAAGGGCUACUGAAAAGAAAGGCACAAAAAGAACAGACUUGAUUUUGCUCUUACAUAAAAAACAACAGCAAAGAGCAACUCAUCUUGCAGUCUCGUAGUUAAAUUCAUGCGUAACAUCAAAGCUAUGUGUCUAAUCCUAUGGUAUUACCAGGAAAAAAAGUAAAAAUUGCAUCAUGUAAGUAGCUCAUAAUUAUGUGCAUUAGCUAAACCCGAACCUCCUCUAGAUGGCAUCAUUGAUGAACCCACAACAUCUGUGACAUCAUGGACUUAUCCUUCCUCCAGAUUCCUAUUCAUGGAGUCAACUGGAGGUAGUUUCACUUGGUGACCAAUGAACAAAAAUGUACAGAUUUUGUUCAUGGUAAGGAAGCUCCUCCACCAGAAAUUUCUGUUGAUUUUCUGCAAAGUUGCUUGCUACCUCUUGAGCAUGCGUUGGUUUUCCCUUGAAGAGAAAAGGAUGAUGCAGCAAAGUAGCGUAAGUAUUUCCCUCAGUUUUUGAGAACCAAGGUAUCAAUCCAGUAGGAGGCCACACGCAAGUCCCUCGUACCUACACAAACAAAUAAGAACCUUGCAACCAACGCGAUAAAGGGGUUAUCAAUCCCUUCACGGCCACUUGCAAAAGUGAGAUCUGAUAGAGAUGAUAAGAUAAUAUUUUUGGUAUUUUUAUGAUAAAGAUUAAAAGAAAGAUUGCAAAAUAAACGGCGACAGAAAUAGCUAGUUGACAGAAGAUUAAUAUGAUGGAAAUUAGACCCGGGGGCCACAUGUUUCACUAGUGGCUUCUCUCAAGAUAGCAUAAGUAUUACGGUGGGUGAACAAAUUACUGUCGGGAAAUUGAUAGAAAAGUGCAUAAUUAUGAGAAUAUCUAGGCAUGAUCAUGUAUAUAGGCAUCACGCCUGCAACAAGUAGACCGACUCCUGCCUGCAUCUACUACUAUUACUCCACACAUCGACCGCUAUCCAGCAUACAUCUAGAGUAUUAAGUUCAUAAGAACAGAUUAACGCAUUAGGCAAGAUGACAUGAUGUAGAGGGAUAAACUCAAACAAUAUGAUAUAAACCCCAUCUUUUUAUCCUCGAUGGCAACAAUACAAUACGUGUCGUUUCCCCUGCUGUCACUGGGAUCGAGCAACGCAAGAUUGAACCCAAAGCUAAGCACUUCUUCCAUUGCAAGAAAGAUCAAUCUAGUAGGCCAAACCAAACUGAUAAUUCGAAGAGACUUGCAAAGAUAACCAAUCAUACAUAAAAGAAUUUAGAGAAGAUUCAAAUAUUGUUCAUAGAUAAUCUUGAUCAUAAACCCACAAUUCAUCGGAUCUCGACAAACACACCGCAAAAAGAGUUACAUCGAAUAGAUCUCCAAGAAGAUCGAGGAGAACUUUGUAUUGGGAUCCAAAGAGAGAGAAGAAGCCAUCUAGCUAAUAACUAUGGACCCGAAGGUCUGUGGUAAACUACUCACACAUCAUCGGAGAGGCUAUGGUGUUGAUGUAGAAGCCCUCCGUGAUCGAUUCCUCCUCCGGCGGAGCGCCGGAAAAGGCCCCAAGAUAGGAUCUCACGGGUACAGAAGGUUGCGGCAGUGGAAAUAAGGUUUCGUGGUGCUCCUGGAUGGUUUCGCUGUACUGAUGACCCACAAGUAUAGGGGAUCUAUCAUAGUCCUUUCGAGAAGUAAGAGCGUCGAACCCAACGAGGAGCAGAAGGAAAUGAUAAGCGGUUUUCAGCAAGGUAUUCUCUGCAAGCACUGAAAUUAUCGGUAACAGAUAGUUUUGUGAUAAGAUAAUUUGUAACGAGUAACAAGUAACAAAAGUAAAUAAAGUGCAGCAAGGUGGCCCAAUCCUUUUUGUAGCAAAGGACAAGCCUGGACAAAUUCUUAUAAAGAGAAAAGCGCUCCCGAGGACACAUGGGAAUUAUCGUCAAGCUAGUUUUCAUCACGUUCAUAUGAUUCGCGUUCCGUACUUUGAUAAUUUGAUAUGUGGGUGGACCAGUGCUUGGGUGGUGUCCUUACUUGGACAAGCAUCCCACUUAUGAUUAACCCCUAUUGCAAGCAUCCGCAACUACAAAAGAAGUAUUAAGGUAAACCUAACCAUAGCAUGAAACAUGUGGAUCCAAACCAGCCCCUUACGAAGCAACGCAUAAACUAGGGUUUAAGCGUCUGUCACUCUAGCAACCCAUCAUCUACUUAUUACUUCCCAAUGCCUUCCUCUAGGCCCAAACAAUGGUGAAGUGUCAUGUAGUCGACGUUCACAUAACACCACUAGAGGAGAGACAACAUACAUCUCAUCAAAAUAUCGAACGGAUACCAAAUUCACAUGACUACUAAUAGCAAGACUUCUCCCAUGUCCCCAGGAACAAACGUAACUACUCACAAAGCAUAUUCAUGUUCAUAAUCAGAGGGGUAUUAAUAUGCAUAAUGGAUCUGAACAUAUGAUCUUCCACCAAAUAAACCAACUAGCAUCAACUACAAGGAGUAAUCAACACUACUAGCAACCUACAGGUACCAAUCUCAGACUUAGAGACAAGAAUUAGAUACAAGAGAUGAACUAGGGUUUGAGAGGAGAUGGUGCUGGUGAAGAUGUUGAUGGAGAUUGGCCCCCUCCCGAUGAGAGGAGCGUUGGUGAUGAUGAUGGCGAUGAUUUCCCCCUCCCGGAGGGAAGUGUCCCCGGCAGAACAGCUCCGCCGGAGCCCUAGAUUGGUUCCGCCAAGGUUCCGCCUCGUGGCGGCGGAGUCUCGUCCCGAAAGCUUGCUUAUGAUUUUUUCUCGGACGAAUGACUUCAUAUAGCAGAAGAUAGGCACCGGAGGGCCACCAGGGGGGCCAUGAGGCAGGGGGCGCGCCCGGGGGGUAGGGCGCGCCCCCACCCUCGUGCCCAGGGUGUGGGUCCCCUCUGGUAUUUUCUUCGCUCAGUAUUUUUUAUUAUUUCCAAAAAAACUUCCGUGGAGUUUCAGGACUUUUGGAGUUGCGCAGAAUAGGUCUCUAAUAUUUGCUCCUUUUUCAGUCCAGAAUUCCAGCUGCCGGCAUUCUCCCUCUUUAUGUAAACCUUGUAAAAUAAGAGAAAAUAGGCAUAAGUAUUGUGACAUAAUGUGUAAUAACAACCCAUAAUGCAAUAAAUAUCAAUAUAAAAGCAUGAAGCAAAAUGGACGUAUCAACUCCCCCAAGCUUAAACCUCGCUUGUCCUGAAGCCGAUAACGAUGAAUAUGUCCACAUGUUUAGAGACAGAGGUAUGGAUAAAAUAAAAUACGGACAUGAGGGCAUCAUGAUCAUUCUUAUAACAGCAACAUAUAUGGAUAUUGUCAUAUGAUUUCUUAUGCUCAAGUAAUAAUCUAUUCACAAUGUCAAGUAUGAAUCAGAAACUUCAUUGAGAACUAACAAACUAUAAUCUCAGUCAUUGAAGCAAUUGCAAUUUAUCAUAACAUCAGAAAGAGUCAAUAUAAGAGCUUUUCAGCAAGUCCACAUACUCAACUAUCAUUUAGUCUUUCACAAUUGCUAACACUCACGCAAUACUUGUGGUUACGGAGUUUUAAUCGGACACAGAGAAAGAUAGGGGCUUAUAGUUUCGCCUCCCAACCUUUUACCUCAAGGGUAAUGUCAACAAUAAUAGUUCAUGCUAACUUACAUCCAAUUGGGUAUAUAUAUCAGGAUCUUUCCAACACAAUGUGCUUGCCAAAGGAUAAAAUGUAAAAAGGAAAGGUGAAGAUCACCAUGACUCUUGCAUAAGGGUAAGAGAUAAAAGUAAAAGAUAGGCCCUUCGCAGAGGGAAGCAGAGGUUGUCAUGCGCUUUCAGGGUUGGAUGCACAAAAUCUUAAUGCGAAAGAACGUCACUUUAUAUUGCCAGUUGUGAUGUGGACCUUUAUUAUGCAGUCCGUCGCUUUUAUUUCUUCCACAUCACAAGAUCGUAUAAAGCUUAUUUUCUCCCACACUAAUAAGUCAUACAUAUUUAGAGAGCAAUUUCUAUUGCUUGCACCGAUGACAACUUACUUGAAGGAUCUUACUCAAUCCAUAGGUAGAUAUGGUGGACUCUCAUGGCAAAACUGGGUUUAAGGAUAUUUGGAAGCACAAGUAGUAUCUCUACUUGGUGCAAAGAAUUUGUCUAGCAUGGGGGAGAUAAGCAAGCUCAACAUGUUGGAUGAUCCAUGACAAUAUACUUUAUUUCAGAUAUAAGAAAACAUAACCGAUUACGUUGUCUUCCUUGUCCAACAUCAACUCUUUAGCAUAUCAUACUUUAAUGAGUGCUCACAAUCAUAAAAGAUGUCCAAGAUAGUAUAUUUAUAUGUGAAACCUCUCUUUCUUUAUUACUUCCUAUUAAUUGCAACGAUGAUCAAAACUAUGUUUGUCCACUCUCAACAAUUUUUAAUCAUCAUACUCUUUCUAUGUGAAGUCAUUACUCUCCAUAAGAUCAAUAUGGUCUCUAUAUUUCUUUUUAUUCUUUCUCUUUUCUUUUAUUCCCUCAAGAUCAUGGCAAAAUAAUCAAGCCCUUGACUCAACACUAAUCUUUAUUAUAUAGCUCACGGACUCGAUUACAUAGAGGGAUCAUAAAGCAAACUCAAAACUAAAUCAUAGCAAAAACUUUUAUUCUACUAGAUCAAGAUAUUACUAAAAGGAUCAAACUAAGAAAAAUGGUAAAGAUAGGAGUGUGAUGGUGAUACGAUACCGGGGCACCUCCCCCAAGCUUGGCAGUUGCCAAGGGGAGUGCCCAUACCCAUGUGAUUAUAUCUCCUUUGCUGGUGAAGAAGAUGGUGGAGUUGUUGAUGAUGUGGGCUUGUCGUCCAUCUUCCAAGGCAUAGGCUCACCAUCAUAGAAGGAUGAUCGAGUCUCCGGGAUCCUCAAAUCUGUGGCCAAACUCAUCCUCUUGAAUCUAUAUUCAUACUCACAGUUUUGGUUUUGCAGGUCAUAGAUUUGGGCUUGGAGAUGCUCGACCUUCUCGUGAAGCUUGAAGAUGCUUUCCCCAAUGUUAUUGGCAUCCAACUUGUGGUUGUUGGUGAACUCCGCGAUCAUCAUGUGGUUGGCGUUGAGUCCACGUUCCACCAUCCCCUGGCACUUGAAAACUUGUUGCUCCAUUGCUUCGAGCCUCGUCUCCACGCUUCCGGUCCUCCUUGGUCCCUCAACAUCGCGGAUGUGCAGCAACCCAUCACGCAUCUCAAUGGUUUGAGGGUCUUGCGGCACCUCCGCGAGGUAGGGGUUGAUGACCUUCUCGAAGAACUUGUCCGUGGGGGCGCUUGGAGACGUCAUGAUGAUCUAGAUCUGUCAGGAAAAUAGCUCGAAACGAAAACAGAGGAUAUUUGCGUGAUACAGGAGUCAAAACCUUCGGGAGAUUAUAUAAUGAAUUUUUACCGACCGAAAGAAGUAUCGUGCAAGAAAACGGAGUCCGGAGAGCGCACGAGGUGCCCACGAGGUAGGGGGCGCGCCCAGGGGGUUAGGGCGCGCCCUCCACCCUCGUGGAGGCCUCGUGUCCUUCCCGGACUGCUUCUUAUUUUCCUAUUUUUCUAAAUAUUCCAAAACAAAGAAAAAUUGCCAUUAGAACUGUUUUGGAGUCGGUUUACUUACCGUACCACAUACCUAUUCCUUUUCGGAGUCUGAAACAUUCUGGAAAGUGUCUCUUAUGUAUUCCUCCGGUGUCACAGUUUCAAUAACAUUAGUUUCAACAUUUAUAGGAUUACCUGAGAUAUAGUGUUUGAUUCUUUGACCGUUCACCACCUUCGGAUUUGUGCCUUCGAAGUUGUUGAUUUCUAUGGCACCGGAAUGAUAGACCUCCUCGAUAAUGUAAGGACCUUCCCAUUUGGAGAGAAGUUUUCCUGCAAAAAAUCUUAAACGAGAGUUGUAUAGCAAUACAUAAUCACCUACAUUAAACUCACGCUUUUGUAUCCUUUUGUCAUGCCAUCUUUUAACUUUUUCUUUAAACAACUUGGCAUUCUCAUAGGCUUGGGUUCUCAAUUCAUCAAGUGAGCUUAUGUCAAAUAGCCUCUUCUCACCGGCAAGUUUGAAAUCAUAAUUGAGUUCUUUAAUAGCCCAAUAUGCCUUAUGUUCUAGUUCGAGAGGUAAAUGACAUGCUUUCCAUAAACCAUUUUAUACGGAGACAUACCCAUAGGGUUUUUAUAUGCAGUUCUAUAGGCCCAUAAUGCAUCAUCAAGUUUCUUGGACCAAUUCUUUCUAGAUCUAUUAACAGUCUUUUGCAAAAUUAAUUUGAGUUCUCUAUUACUCAAUUCUACUUGACCACUAGACUGUGGGUGAUAAGGAGAUGCAAUUCUAUGAUUAACAUCAUACUUAGCAAGCAUUUUACGAAAAGCACCAUGAAUAAAAUGUGAACCGCCAUCAGUCAUUAAAUAUCUAGGGACUCCAAACCUCGGAAAAAUAACUUCUUUAAGCAUCUUAAUAGAAGUGUUAUGAUCAGCACUACUAGUUGGAAUAGCUUCUACCCACUUAGUAACGUAAUCAACAACAACUAAAAUAUGUGUAUAUCCAUUAGAGGCAGGAAACGGUCCCAUAUAAUCAAAGCACCAAACAUCAAAUGGUUCUAUAACAAGUGAAUAAUUCAUAGGCAUUUCUUGACGUCUACUAACAUUACCAAUUCUUUGACAUUCAUCACAAGAUAAGACAAACUUACGGGCGUCCUUGAAGAGAGUAGGCCAAUAAAAACCAGAUUGCAAUACCUUAUGUGCAGUUCUGUCUCCAGCGUGGUGUCCUCCAUAAGCCUCAGAGUGACACUUGCGUAGGAUCUGUUCCUGUUCAUGCUCGGGUACACAAUGCCUAAUAACACCAUCUACUCCUUCUUUAUAAAGAUGUGGGUCAUCCCAGAAGUAAUGUCUUAAAUCAUAGAAAAACUUUUUCUUUUGCUGGUAUGUGAAACUAGGUAGUAUAAAUUUAGCAACAAUGUAAUUAGCAUAAUCAGCAUACCAUGGAGCAGUACGAGAAGCAUUUAUGACAUUCAGUUGUUCAUCAGGAAAGCUAUCAUCAAUGGGUAGUGGGUCAUCAAGAACAUUUUCUAACCUAGACAAGUUGUCUGCAACGGGGUUCUCAGCUCCCUUUCUAUCAAUAAUAUGCAAAUCAAAUUCUUGUAGCAAGAAAACCCAUCUAAUAAGUCUAGGUUUAGCAUCUUUCUUUUCCAUAAGGUAUUUAAUAACAGCAUGAUCAAUGUGAAUAGUUACUUUAGAAUCAACAAUAUAAGGUCUAAACUUAUCACAAGAAAAUACAACUGCUAAGAAUUCCUUUUCAGUAGUAGCAUAAUUUCUCUGAGCACUGUCUAGAGUUUUACUAGCCUAUUGAAUAACAUUUAAUUUCUUAUCAACUCUUUGUCCUAGAACAGCACCUACCGCAUAAUCGCUAGCAUCACACAUAAUUUCAAAAGGUAAAUUCCAGUCAGGUGGCUGAACAAUAGGUGCAGAAAUCAAUGCUUUCUUAAGUAUUUCAAAUGCUUCUACACAAUCAUCAUCGAAGACAAAUGGUAUAUCUUUUUUAAUAGAUUAGUCAAAGGCCGAGAAAUUUUUGAGAAGUCCUUAAUGAACCUCCUAUAAAAGUCGGCAUGACCAAGGAAACUUCUUAUACCUUUGAUGUCCUUGUGACACGGCAUCUUUUCAAUAGCAUCAACUUUAGCUUUAUCAACUUCAAUACCUCUUUCAGAAAUUUUAUGCCCCAAGACAAUACCUUCAUUAACCAUAAAGUGGCACUUCUCCCAAUUCAAGACAAGGUUAGUCUCUUCACAUCUCUGCAAAACUCGAUCAAGGUUGCUCAAGCAGUCAUCAAAAGAGGAUCCAUAGACGGAGAAAUCGUCCAUGAAAACCUCACAAAUCUUUUCACAAGAAUCAGAGAAUAUAGCCAUCAUGCAUCUUUGAAAGGUAGCAGGUGCAUUACAUAAACCAAAAGGCAUACGUCUAUAAGCAAAAGUACCAAAAAGGCAAGUAAAUGUGGUCUCUGCUUGAUCAUCAGCUGACACAGGUAUUUGAGAGAAACCAGAAUAACCAUCUAGAAAGCAAAAAUGUGUGUGUUUGGAUAACCUUUCUAGCAUUUGAUCAAUGAAUGGCAAGGGGUAAUGUUCUUUUUUAGUAGCUUUAUUUAAUUUGCGGAAAUCAAUUACCAUCCUAUAACCUGUAAUAAUUCUUUGUGGAAUCAAUUCAUCUUUAUCAUUAGGAAGGACAGUAAUACCUCCCUUAUUAGGGACACAAUGGACAGGACAUACCCACUGACUAUCAGCAACGGGAUAGAUUAUACCUCCCUCAAGGAGCUUUAGUAUUUCCUUUCUUACCACUUCUUUCAUCUUAGGAUUCAGCCAUCGUUGAUGAUCAAUAAAUGGUUUGGCAUCUUUCUCCAAAUUUAUUUUGUAUUGACAUAGAGUGGGACUAAUGCCCUUAAGAUCAUCAAGAGUAUAUCCAAUAGCAGCAUGGUGCUUUUUCAGAGUUUUCAAUAAUUUUUCUUCCUCCUUCUCUGAAAGGUUAGCACUAAUAAUAACAGGAUAUAUCUUCUUUUCAUCAAGAUAAGCAUAUUUAACAGUAUCAGGCAAUGGUUUAACUUCAAACACGGGAUCACCCUUGGGUGGAGGAGGAUCCCCUAGGAUUUCAACAGGCAAGUUGUGUUUCAGAAUAGGUCCCUGUUUAAAUAAUACUUCAUCUAUUUCCCUUCUUUCAUCAUAAACAUAUCAUUUUCAUGGUCUAGCAAAUAUUGUUCUAAAGGAUCAUUAGGAGGCACAACAAUAGAAGAAAGACCAAUAAUUUCAUCCUUACUAGGCAAUUCUUAUUCACGGUGUUGUCUACGAAAUUUCGAAAAGUUGAACUCAUGAGACAUAUCACCUAGACCAAUAGUAACAACAUCCUUUUCACAGUCUAUCUUAGCAUUAACAGUGUUUAAGAAGGGUCUACCAAAUAUAAUGGGAUAAAAGUUAUCUUGUGGGGAACCAAGAACAAGAAAAUCAGCUGGAUAUUUAGUUUUCCCACACAAGACUUCAACAUCUCUAACAAUCCCAAUUGGUGAAAUAGUAUCUCUAUUGGCAAGCUUAAUGGUGACAUCAAUUUCUUCUAACUCAGCGGGUGCAAUAUCAUGCAUAAUUUAUUUGUAUAAGUCAAUAGGUAUUGCACUAGCACUAGCGCCCAUAUCACACAAGCCAUGAUAUCAAUGAUCUCCUAUUUUAAUAGAAAUAACAGACAUGCCUACUAUAGGUCUAUGUUUAUCUUUAGCAUCGGGUUUAGCAAUUCUAGCAGUCUGAUCAUAGAAGUAAAUAACAUGCCCAUCAAUAUUAUCAGCCAAGAGAUCUUUAACCAUAGCAAUAUUAGGUUCAACUUUAACCUGUUCAGGAGGAGUAUAAGUUCUAAUAUUGCUUUUACGAACCACAGUUGAAGCUUUAGUAUGAUCCUUUAUCCUAACAGAAAAAGGUGGUUUCUAAACAUAAGUAGUAGGAAUAACAGGAUCAUUAAAAGUGAUAGUCUUUUCUUCAACUUUAAUAGGUUCAACUACUUUUACUUCUAUGGGAGGAUGAUAUUUAAACCACUUCUCCUUAGGGAGAUCAACAUGAGUAGCAAAUGAUUCACACAAAGAAGCUACUAUCUCAGAGUCAAGUCCAUAUUUAGUGCUAAAUUCACGGAAAACAUCGGUAUCCAUAAAAGAUUCAACACAAUCAAACUUAGGUGUUAUACCUGACUCCUUACCCUCGUCGAGAUCCCAAUCUUCAGAGUUGCAUUUAAUUGUUUCCAAUAAAUUCCAUUUGAAUUCAAUAGUCUUCAUCAUAAAAGAACCAGUACAAGUAGUAUCGAGCAUGGUGCGAUCGUUGUCAGAAGGCCGAGCAUAAAAAUUUUGAAUAAUCAUUUCUCUUGAGAGCUCAUGAUUGGGGCAUGAAUAUAACAUUGACUUAAGCCUCCCCCAAGCUUGAGCGAUGCUUUCUUCUUCGCGAGGCCAAAAAUUAUAUAUAUAAUUACGAUCACGAUGAACAAGAUGCAUAGGAUAAUACUUCUGAUGAAAUUCCAAUUUCAAUCGUUUGUAGUUCCAUGAUCCCAUAUCAUCACAUAGCCUAUACCAUGUCAAUGCAUCUCCCUUCAAAGAUAAAGGGAAGACCUUCUUCUUGAUAACAUCAUCGGGCAUACCUGCAAGCUUAAAUAAUCCACAAACUUCAUCCACAUAGAUUAGGUGCUCAUCAGGAUGUAAUGUUCCGUCUCCUGCAAAAGGAUUAGCUAGCAGUUUUUCUAUCAUACCCGAAGGAAUUUCAAAGUAGACAUUUUCAUUUUCUGUAGGUUCAAUAGGUUGAGGAGCAACUCUUGCUCUACUGGUCGAGGUGAAGAUACCCCGAACAAGCCCCUCAGAGGAUUACUUUCCAUAGUAACAAGUGACAGUAAAUUUCAGCACACUAUAUAAAUUUUUCCUUACCAAAUUCCACCUACCAAAGGCGCUUCACUCCCCGCCAACGGCGCCAGAAAAGAGUCUUGAUGACCCACAAGUAUAGGGGAUCUAUUAUAGUCCUUUAGAUAAGUAAGAGUGUCGAACCCAACGAGGAGCAGAAGGAAAAGAUAAGCGAUUUUCAGCAAGGUAUUCUCUGUAAGCACUGAAAUUAUCAGUAACAGAUAGUUUUGUGAUAAGAUAAUUCGUAACGAGUAACAAGUAACAAAAGUAAACAAAGUGCAGCAAGGUGGCCCAAUACUUUUUGUGGCAAAGGACAAGCCUGGACAAAUUCUUAUAUAGAGAAAAGCGCUCCCGAUGACACAUGGGAAUUAUUGUCAAGCUAGUUUUCAUCACGUUCAUAUGAUUCUCGUUCGGUACUUUGAUAAUUUGAUAUGUGGGUGGACCAGUGCUUGGGUGCUGUCCUUACUUGGACAAGAAUCCCACUUAUGAUUAACCCCUAUUGCAGGCAUCCGCAACUACAAAAGAAGUAUUAAGGUAAACCUAACCAUAGCAUGAAACAUGUGGAUCCAAACCAGCCCCUUACGAAGCAACGCAUAAACUAGGGUUUAAGCUUCUGUCACUCUAGCAACCCAUCAUCUACUUAUUACUUCCCAAUGCCUUUCUCUAUGCCCAAACAAUGGUGAAGUGUCAUGUAGUCGACAUUCACAUAACACCACUAGAGGAGAGACAACAUACAUCUCAUCAAAAUAUCGAACGAAUACCAAAUUCAUAUGACUACUAAUAGCAAGACUUCUCCCAUGUCCUCAGGAACAAACGUAACUACUCACAAAGCAUAUUCAUGUUCAUAAUCAGAGGGGUAUUAAUAUGCAUAAUGGAUCUGAACAUAUGAUCUUCCACCAAAUAAACCAACUAGCAUCAACUACAAGGAGUAAUCAACACUACUAGCAACCUACAGGUACCAAUCUCAGACUUAGAGACAAGAAUUGGAUACAAGAGAUGAACUAGGGUUUGAGAGGAUAUGGUGCUGGUGAAGAUGUUGAUGGAGAUUGGCCCCCUCCCGAUGAGAGGAGCGUUGGUGAUGAUGAUGGCGAUGAUUUCCCCCUCUCGGAGGGAAGUGUUCUCGGCAGAACAGCUUCGCCCGAGCCCUAGAUUGGUUCCGCCAAGGUUCCGCCUCAUGGCGGCGGAGUCUCGUCCCGAAAGCUUGCUUAUGAUUUUUUCUCGGACGAAAGAUUUCAUAUAGCAGAAGAUAGGCACCGGAGGGCCACCAGGGGGCUCACGAGGCAGGGGGGCGCGCCCAGGGGGGUAGGGCGCGCCCCCACCCUCGUGCCCAGGGUGUGGGUCCCCUCUGGUAUUUUCUUCGCUCAGUAUUUUUUAUUAUUUCCAAAAAUAACUUCCGUGAAGUUUCAGGACUUUUGGAGUUGCGCAGAAUAGGUCUCUAAUAUUUGCUCCUUUUCCAGCCCAGAAUUCCAGCUGUCGGCAUUCUCCCUCUUUAUGUAAACCUUGUAAAAUAAGAGAAAAUAGGCAUAAGUAUUGUGACAUAAUGUGUAAUAACAGCCCAUAAUGUAAUAAAUAUCAAUAUAAAAGCAUGAUGCAAACUGGACGUAUCAGUACGUAGGUAUAUAUAGGAGGAAGAAGUAGGUCGGUGGAGCCACGAGGGGCCCAUGAGGGUGGGGGGCUCGCCCAGGGGGCAGGCGCGCCUCCCUGCCUCGUGGCCUCCUCGUUCGUUUCUUGACGUCCACUCCAAGUCCUCUGGAUCACGUUUGUUCCAAAAAUAACUCUCCCGGAGGUUUCAUUCCGUUUGGACUCCGUUAGGUAUUCCUUUUCUGCGAAACACUGAAAUAGGCAAAAAAAACAGCAAUUUGCACUUGGCCUUGGGUUAGUAGGUUAGUCCCAAAAAUAAUAUAAAAGUGUAUAAUAGAGCCCAUUAAACAUCCAAAACCGAAUAUAUAAUAGCAUGGAGCAAUCAAAAAUUAUAGAUACGUUGGAGACGUAUCAAGCAUCCCCAACCUUAAUUCCUACUCGUCCUCGAGUAGGUAAAUGAUAAAAACAGAAUUUUUGAUGUGGAAUGCUACUUAACAUAUUCUCAAUGUAAUUUUCUUUAUUGUGGCAUGAAUGUUCAGAUCCGAAAGAUUCAAGAUAAAAGAUUAAUAUUGACAUAAAAAUAAUAAUACUUCAAGCAUACUAACAAAGCAAUCAUGUCUUCUCAAAAUAACAUGGACAAAGAAAGUUAUCCCUACAAAAUCAUAUAGUCUGGCUAUGCUCUAUCUUCACCACACAAAGUAUUUAAAUCAUGCACAACCCCGAUGACAAGCCAAUCAAUUGUUUCAUACUUUUGAUGUUCUCAAACUUUUUCAAUCUUCACACAAUACAUGAGCGUGAGCCAUGGACAUAGCGCUAUAGGUGGAAUAGAAUGGUGGUUGUGGAGAAGACAAAAAAGGAAGAUAGUCUCACAUCAACUAGGCGUAUCAACGGGCUAUGGAGAUGCCCAUUAAUAGAUAUCAAUGUGAGUGAGUAGGGAUUGCCAUGCAACGGAUGCACUAGAGCUAUAAGUGUAUGAAAGCUCAACAAAAGAAACUAACUGGGUGUGCAUCCAACUCGCUUGCUCACGAAGACCUAGGGCAUUUUGAGGAAGCCCAUCGUUGGAAUAUACAAGCCAAGUUCCAUAAUGUAAAAUUCCCACUAGUAUAUGGAAGUGACAACAUAGGAGACUCUCCAUCAUAAAGAUCAUGGUGCUACUUUGACGCACAAGUGUGGUAAGAGGAUAGUAGCAUUGUCCCUUCUCUCUUUUUCUCUCAUUUUUUUUGUUUGGGCCUUCUUCUCUUUUUUUAAUGGCCUCUUUUAUUUCUCUUUUUUUUAGUUUUUAGUCCGGAGUCUCAUCCCGACUUGUGGGGGGAUCAUAGUCUCCAUCAUCCUUUCCUCAUAUGGGACAAUGCUCUAAUAAUGAUGAUCAUCACACUUUUAUUUACUUACAACUCAAAAAUUACAACUCAAUACUUAGAACAAAAUAUGACUCUAUGUGAAUGCCUCCGGCGGGGUACCGGGAUAUGCAAUGAAUCAAGAGUGACAUGUAUGAAAGAAUUAUGAAUGGUGGCUUUGCCACAAAUACGAUGUCAACUACAUGAUCAUGCAAAGCAAUAUGACAAUGAUGAAGCGUGUCAUAAUAAACGGAACGGUGGUAAGUUGCAUGGCAAUAUAUCUCGGAAUGACUAUGAAAAUGCCAUAAUAGGUAGGUAUGGUGGCUGUUUUGAGGAAGGUAUAUGGUGGGUGUAUGAUACCGGCGAAAGGUGCGCGGUAUUAGAGAGGCUAGUAAUGGUGGAAGGGUGAGAGUGCGUAUAAUCCAUGAACUCAACAUUAGUCAUAAAGAACUCACAUACUUAUUGCAAAAAUCUAUUAGUUAUCAAAACAAAGUACUACGUGCAUGCUUCUAGGGGGAUAGAUUGGCAAGAAAAGACCAUCGCUCGUCCCCGACCGCCACUCAUAAGGAAGACAAUCAAUAAAUAAAUCAUGCUCUGACUUCAUCACAUAACGGUUCAUCAUAUGUGCAUGCUACGGGAAUCACAAACUUUAACACAAGUAUCUCUCAAAUACACAACUACUCAACUAGCAUGACUCUAAUAUCACCAUCUUCAUAUCUCAAAACAAUUAUCAAGUAUCAAACUUCUCAUAGUAUUCGAUGCACUUUUUGUAUGAUAGUUUUUAUUAUACCUAUCUUGGAUGCUCAUUACUUUAGGACUAAAAUUUCAACCAAAGCAAAUUACCAUGCUGUUCUAAAAGACUCUCAAAAUAAUAUAAGUGAAGCAUGAGAGAUCAGUUAUUUCUAUAAAAUAAAACCACCGCCGUGCUCUAAAAGAUAUAAGUGAAGCACUACAGCAAAAUUUUCUAGCUCAAAAGAUAUAAGUGAAGCACAUAGAGUAUUCUAAUAAAUUCCGACUAAUGUGUGUCUCUCCCAAAAGGUGUGUACAGCAAGGAUUAUUGUGGUGAACUAAAAGCAAAGACUCAAAUCAUGCAAGACGCUCCAAGCAAAACACAUAUCAUGUGGUGAAUAAAAAUAUAGCUCCAAGUAAAGUUACCGAUGGACGAAGACAAAAGAGGGGAUGCCUUCCGGGGCAUCCCCAAGCUUAGGCUUUUUGGUUGUCCUUGGAUUUUACCUUGGGGUUCCUUGGGCAUCACCAAGCUUAGGCUCUUGCCACUCCUUGUUCCAUAAUCCAUCAAAUCUUUAGCCAAAACUUGAAAACUUCACAACACAAAACUUAACAGAAAAUCUCGUGAGCUCCGUUAGCAAAAGAAAACAAAACACCACUUCAAGGUACUGUAAUGAACUCAUUAUUUAUUUAUAUUGGUGUUAAACCUACUGUAUUCCAACUUCUCUAUGGUUCAUAACCUCCGAUACUAGCCAUAGAUUCAUCAAAAUAAGCAAACAACAAGAAAAAUAGAAUCUGUCAAAAACAUAACAGUCUGUAGUAAUAUGUAUCUAACGCAAACUUCUGAAAAUCCAAAAAUUCUAAAAUAAAUUGCUGGACGUGAGGAAUUUAUCUAUUAAUCAUCUACAAAAAGAAUCAACUAAAUAUCACUCUUUAGUAAAAAGUUGUAGCUAAUCUCGUGAGCGCUAAAGUUUCUGUUUUUUACAACAAGAUCAAAAAGACUUCACCCAAGUCUUCCCAAAGGUUCUACUUGGCACAAACACUAGUUAAAACAUAAAAACAUAUCUAACCAGAGGCUAGAUGAAAGAUUUAUUCCUAAACAGAACUAAAAAGCAAGAAACAAAAAUAAAAUUGGGUUGCCUCCCAACAAGCGCUAUCGUUUAACGCCCCUAGCUAGGCAUAAAGGCAAGGAUAGAUCUAGGUAUUGCCAUAAUGAUGGUAAGGUAAAUCACGAAAACUCAUCUCAUAUUCCCUACAUUCAGCAGCAAGUUUUCUUUGUGGCAAACAAAAGUAAUCAAAAGGGCUAAAUUUAAUAGGACAAAAGUCCCCAAGAUCAAGCUCGGGAGGUAUGGGUUCCUCCUUUGGCCCCUUAUAUUGCACAACCAAUUCAUCAUUAUAAGCAUUCUUUUGGCAAUAAGUCAGGAGCCUUUGUUCAAGAGAAAAACCUAACCCGUUGUUCUCUUUAGCAAAGUCAUCAUGAAGUUCAGAAAUUCUAUCAACUAGAACAUCGGUAGGAACCUUUUUUCUAAGGUUUUCAUUGUAAGCAACAUGAUCUAAGGAUCGUAAGCGCAUUAAGUCUUCUUGAUUAAAAAGGACAGCCUCUAUGGGAGGACGACCAGCGUCCACCCUAUAAUGUGCAAAAAUUUCAUUGGCCUCAUUCAUUAUAAAUCUGAACUCAUGUGCCAAAAAGAUAGUAGCCGCUCGCUUAACAGAAGAAUGCUCGAUAUUGGAAAACUCUUGAAAAAUCCUUUGUAUGCAAGGAUGCAAAUGGAUAAAUGUCUUUCAAGUUCAACUACGAGCAAAGAUAUAGCAUCCGCAAGACUACUAGUUCUAUGAAGAAUAGACCCUCCCAUAGAGGGUAGGGUACCGGCACAAGUAAAGAAAUCUUGAAUAACUCCUUUCCCAAUAAUAUUACCGCUACCAAUUCAAAACUUUUUAGAGUGUAAAAUAGUAGGAUCUUCAAGAGGAUCAUAAAAAACAUCAAAGUUUUCCAUAUUCUUAUCCUUAUCAACGAUAACCUCCCCAGUUUCAGACAUAACGGCAGCACAGAGAACGAUCACACAAGAAGCAAGCGAAAAAGAGGCGAACGGAAAGAGAGGGCGAAUAAAACGGCAAGGGUGAAGUGGGGGGAGGAAAACGAGAGGCAAAUGGCAAAUAAUGUAAUGCGAGGGGUAAAAUUUUGUGAUGGGUACUUGGUAUGCCUUGACUUGUGCGUAGACUCCCCGGCAACGGCGCCAGAAAUCCUUCUUGCUACCUCUUGAGCAUGCGUUGGUUUUCCCUUGAAGAGGAAAGGGUGAUGCAGCAAAGUAGCGUAAGUAUUUUCCUCAGUUUUUGAGAACCAAGGUAUCAAUCUAGUAGGAGGCCACACGCAAGUCCCUCGUACCUACACAAACAAAUAAGAACCUUGCAACCAACGCGGUAAAGGGGUUGUCAAUCCCUUCAUGGCCACUUGCAAAAAUGAGAUCUGAUAGAGAUGAUAAGAUAAUAUUUUUGGUAUUUUUAUGAUAAAGAUUAAAAGUAAAGAUUGCAAAAUAAACAGCGACAGAAAUAGCUAGUUGACGGAAGAUUAAUAUGAUGGAAAUUAGACCCGGGGGCCAUAGGUAUCACUAGUGGCUUCACUCAAGAUAGCAUAAGUAUUACGGUGGGUGAACAAAUUACUGUCGGGCAAUUGAUAGAAAAGUGCAUAAUUAUGAGAAUAUCUAGGCAUGAUCAUGUAUAUAGGCAUCACGUCCGCAACAAGUAGACCGACUCCUGCCUGCAUCUACUACUAUUACUCCACACAUCGACCGCUAUCCAGCAUGCAUCUAGAGUAUUAAGUUCAUAAGAACAGAGUAACGCAUUAGGCAAGAUGACAUGAUGUAGAGGGAUAAACUCAAACAAUAUGAUAUAAACCCCAUCUUUUUAUCAUCGAUGGCAACAAUACAAUACGUGUCGUUUCCCCUGCUGUCACUGGGAUCGAGCAACGCAAGAUUGAACCCAAAGCUAAGCACUUCUCCCAUUGCAAGAAAGAUCGAUCUAGUAGGCCAAACCAAACUGAUAAUUCGAAGAGACUUGCAAAGAUAACCAAUCAUACAUAAAAGAAUUCGGAGAAGAUUCAAAUAUUGUUCAUAGAUAAUCUUGAUCAUAAACCCACAAUUCAUCGGAUCUCGACAAACACACCACAAAAGGAGUUACAUCGAAUAGAUCUCCAAGAAGAUCGAGAAGAACUUUGUAUUGGGAUCCAAAGAGAGAGAAGAAGCCAUCUAGCUAAUAACUAUGGACCCGAAGGUCUAUGGUAAACUACUCACACAUCAUCGGAGAGGCUAUGGUGUUGAUGUACGUAGAAGCCCUCCGUGAUCGAUUCCCCCUCCGGCGGAGCGCCGGAAAAGGCGCCAAGAUGGGAUCUCACGGGUACAGAAGGUUGCAGCGGUGGAAAUAGGGUUUCGUGGUGCUCCUGGAUGGUUUCGGGGUACGUAGGUAUAUAUAGGAGGAAGAAGUAGGUCGGUGGAGCCACGAGGGGCCCACGAGGGUGGGGGCACGCCCGGGGGGCAGGCGCUCCUCCCUGCCUCGUGGCCUCCUCGUUCGUUUCUUGACGUCCACUCCAAGUCCUCUAGAUCACGUUUGUUCCAAAAAUAACUCUCCCGAAGGUUUCAUUCCGUUUGGACUCCGUUUGGUAUUCCUUUUCUGCAAAACACUGAAAUAGGCAAAAAAACAGCAAUUUGCACUGGGCCUUGGGUUAGUAGGUUAGUCCCAAAAAUAAUAUAAAAGUGUAUAAUAAAGCCCAUUAAACAUCCAAAACAGAAUAUAUAAUAGCAUGGGGCAAUCAAAAAUUAUAGAUAGGUUGAAGACGUAUCAUUACUUCACUUCGUUGCGGCUAUCAAGGGUAGACACUACUAAUGAAAUUAUUAAAGGGAAAAUGUCUUGCGAAGAUUUGAUUCCCUCACAGGUGAUCAAGGUGUCAACUCCUUCCCCUCCAUGGCCACCACCUCUCGUGGAUCAGGUGGCUCUUUUGGUGGAUGGAGCUUUUUCAGCCGGCGAUGGUUCGGCGGCCGCAGGUAUGAUCCUAAGGAGACAGGAUGGGAGUGUUAUCUUUGCAGCAUACCGGGUUUUAUUCAACUGUAAUGAUGCUCUGGAGGCUGAGAUUCAUGCGUUGAUGCAAGGCAUGGCAUUGGCAAAGCAACACUCGGAGGGCUCAAUCAUUGGGCUGUCUGAUUCAUCGACAGCACUGGCAUCUCUCAUGGGUGAUUGUUUGGAUCGCUCACCAAUUGGUCAUUUACUUGCUGAGAUUAAAUUCUUGAUGCUUGACAGGGAGUUUAUUCCCCAAAAAAUUAGUCGUGAACAAAAUAAGGUAGAAGAUCGUUUGGCUGGUUAUAAUCGAACUAAGUGUAGUACUGCUGUAUGGCUACAUCGUGGACCUCCAUGUAUUGAGGAUCUUUUGCUACUUGACUGUAACCCUAUUUCUGUGCAAUAAAACUUCCAUUUACCCCGCAAAAAAAGUUUCACUUGGUGACCAUUCUCCUCGCAGGUGGCGGCCGGAGUUUGCAGUUGCUGGAGGCAGUGUGGUUGCUCAACGGUGGGAGUCUUAAUUUGAUGUGUGGCGAUGGCGACCCAGCAGCGCUCUCAGGACAUGUCUCUUCCUCGGCCGGUGCUUGUGUCUCGAGGUCAUGCACGUUUCAUACUGCAGCCCAAAGACACCACAACAGUGCGGAGAAAGCUCAAACAUCAGCGGUCGCUCCCAGUCGCCACUCUGCCUUUGACCAUGAAAAACAUCGACCAAAUGAGUCAUCCCAUCCCACUCACUAAUAGCCCAGGCCCGUGCCUCCCAAUGCUGAUUAAAAAGGCCCAUAAAACGACUAGAUCAACAAGCCCAAUUAACAGAUGGAAGAAUGGAACACCAACCUUGGGAAGACCGAAUCAAAAUCGAGGCAUUUCCUAUUUGACACUGCAGUUGCCUGCUAUAUUGCUAACGCGCGCCUGCAGCAAACGCCCCCUCCCGCGACUGGGCCGACCUGUUUAACUAUUUCUUUCUUUCAUGUUAAAAUUCAAAAAAAGGUGCAAUAGCAGAGAGCAACUAGUUAACGAGCGCUCCUUCGGGAGCCUCGUAACGAUCAGCAUCACUUGGCGCGCCCUCAGCCAUUCGUCACGUGUCGUGCUCUGGGCGCUUCCUUCGGAUUUUGUUUUUUUUUCGCACGCGUUUUCGGCUUUUUAAAUGGUUUUUUUGGUUUUUUCGAUAUUUUGGUUUUCACCGGUCUUCCUUAGCUUUUCAAUCAAAAAAAAUUGCGCGAAAAAAUGAUUUUUUCUUUUUUUUCCUUUCGCGAGAGUCACGGUUUUGCUUCCGCGAGAGGCACGGUUUUGCUUUCACGAGAGUCAUGGCCGUGCCUCUCGGAAAAGGAAAAAAACGCAUUUUCUGUUUUUUUAUUCUUUCGCGAGAGUCACGGUUUUGCUUCCGCGAGAGGCACGGGUGUGCUUUCGUGAGAGCCACGGCCGUGCCUCUCGGAAAAGAAAAAAACGCGUUUUCUGUUUUUUUUUUCCUUUCGUGAGAGUCACGGUUUUGCUUCCGCGAGAGGCACGGUUGUGCUUUCGCGAGAGUCACGGCUGUGCCUCUCGGAAAGGGAAAAACGUGUUUUCUGCUCUCUUUUUUUUCUUUCACGAGAGUCAUGGUUUUGCUUCUGCAAGAGGCACGGUUGUGCUUUCACGAGAGUCACGGCCGUGCCUCCUCGAAAAUAAAAAAAACUUGUUAUCUCUUUUUUUUCCUUCCGCGAGAGGCACGGUUGUGAUUUCGUGAGAGGCACGGGCGUGCCUCUUUCGGAAAGGGAAAAAACCCGUGCUCCCGGUUCGGUUUUUUCGUCCGGUUUUUUUCUUAAAAAAAGUUCGUCAAAACCUAUCAAUAUGGGAUUUAGUUUUGAAGAUCUCGACGCGAGGAAUCCAACGGUGAAAGCGGUUCGAGAUUUGGACGCACGGUUUGAGAGCUAAAACGUUUUGAAUCAACGGAUCUACGAAAAAAGGGAAAACUCACAGGUUGAGACAAGUGGCGCGCUGUAUGUGCACCACUUGUCGCAACCAGGGGAAUUGGAGUGAUCUUUGCAAUGAGUACUCUUCAAUUAGUGAUUUCGGCGAUCGCAGGGGUUCGAACUAUAGACAUUUUAAUUCAGAGCAAAGUGUAGUAACCGCUAGGCCAUCUCGAUUGAUUGCGCAGACCCACAUUGUCUUUCCCAUUUAUCCUCUGUAGUUUACGGAACUUUAUUCUUUUUAUUUUUCCUUUUUUUUUCUUUUUUCUCAGAAUUGUUUUGUUCAGCUUUUUCUCAAUAUUUUUAUUUUUUCUAAAUGCGUGAACUUUUUGUUCAAAUUCGUGAUUUUUUGAAAAAAAAAUCAAUGAACAUUUCUUCAAGAUCGAUGAAUGUUUUUUAGAAAUCGACGAACAUUUUUUCGAACUCGAUGAACAUUUUUUCAAAAUCGAUGAAUGUUUUUUCAAAUUUGAUGAAAAUUUUCCAAUGUUGAUGAACUUUUUUAAAAAAUCAAUGAAGUACUUUUCUAAUUCAUGAUUUUUUCCCCAAAGUUGGUGAACUUUUUUCAAAAUCAAUGAGUUUUUCUUCAUUAUUGAUGAACUUAUUUCAGAAUCGAUGAUUUUUUUUUUCAAAUUUGAUGAAUUUUUUUAUAUUGGAUGAAUUUUUUAAAUUCAAUAAAGUGUUUCGAAAUUUUGAUUUUUCAAAAAAAUUGAUGAACUUUUCCCAUUUUUGCGAUUUUUUUCAAUUGGUACAAACCUUUUUGAUUUUUUUAUUUCUUUCAAUUCGUGUUUUUUGUGAAUGCUUUUCAAAUUUAUGUUUUCUUUUUUCAAAUAUAAUUAUGAUGAGUAUAUAAUACUAGUAUAUGUUUAAUUUUUGUACUUAAUGAAUGGUCAAAUGAGAUAUGUUUCCAUUAGUAAUCAACAAACUGAGCAUGUCCUAUUGGUUAACGCUUGUGGGCAUUUACUUUUGUGUUCGGAAUCCCACUUCUCUCGAUUAAUCUUACACUCUUUUCUUCGCGGUUUGCUUUUUCUUUUCUGCAGGUCUCCUGGGCCGGCCCAUGUGGUGGGGCGCGUGGGAGCCAGCUAUGCUUAAGGCGCCAAACGGGAGCUGUUUCCUAUUUGGCGCCCGCUGCGCCCGUUACUGGGUUAAUCGCAAACCGGCGCACACCCCCAACUCCGACCUGGGCCAUCCCAUUUUAGAUUUUUUUUGUGUGUGUUAAAACUGCAAUUUCUGCAAAAACACGGGCGUGGUGACUCGAACCAGGGACCUCUUAUACUCAAGUAAGUCGACUAACCACGAGGCCACAACGACCUUGUUUGAUAACUUCUCGCUUUUAUUUUAUUUCUAGUUUCGUUCCUUUCCUUUUUCAUUUUUCUUUCUUCUUUUCUUAAAUUCGUGAACCUUUUCAAAAUUGAUGAACUUUUUUUCAAAAUUAGUGAACUUUUUUCAGUUUUCUGUGAAUUUUUUUUCAAAAUCGAUGAACUUUCUUCAAUUUUUUGUGAACUUUUUUCAGAAUUUAUGAACUUUUUUCAAAAUCAAUGAACAUUUUUUCAAAAAUAAUGAACCUUUUUAUAAUUUUGUGAACUUUUUUCAGAUCCGAUGAACUUUUUUAAAUUUCGAUGAACUUUUUUCAGAUUCGAUGAACUUUUUUCAAAAUCCGAUGAACUUUUUCAAAUCGAUGAACUUUUUUUCAAAUUGAUGAACUUUUUUUCAGAUUCGAUGAACUUUUUUUCCAAUUUGAUGAACCUUUUAAAAAUUUUGAUGAACUUUUUUCAAAUUGGAUGAACUUUAAUCAGAUUCAAUGAGCUUUUUUUCAAAUUUGAUGAACUUUUGUCAAAUUCGAUGAACUUUUUUAAAAUUCAUGAAAAUUUUCCUUUUUGCGAAUUUUUUCCCAUUGGUACAAACCUUUUUGAAAAUAUUUGAUUUCUUUCAAUUCACGGUUUUUAUGAAUGCUUUUUCAAAUUUAUGUUUUCUUUAUUCAAAUUAGUAUAGUGGAUAUAUAAUACUUGUAUAUAUGUUUGAAGGUUUGUACUGAAUGAGUGGCCAAAAGAGAUUUUGUUCCACUAGUAAUCAAGUAACUGAGCGUGUCCCAGCAGUAACGCUUGUAGGCAUUCACAUUGGUUGUCGCAGUUCGAACCUCGAUUCUCUCGCUUUUUCCUUUCCUGCACGAAUUGCUUUUUUGCAGCUUGCUGGGCCGGCCCAUGCGGUGGGGCGUGCGGGCGCCAGCUACCUGUUCGGGCGCUUAAGGCGCCGAACAGGAGCUCUCCAAACGGGAGCUCCCCAAAAUCGAUGCUACAUGAAGGUCGUCGUUCUAACAAUGAUUCUCAUAGCUUAGCAAAGUUUUCCCUAAAUUUAGUUCAGGGGCAUUGCAUGUGGCUUAUUCAACCCGAUGAUCCCUUAUGUAUCCCACAAACUGUGGUAUUUGAUGAAUAAAGUCAUGUUCAUCCCUUAAAAAUAAAAACCGAGAGAAGACCGAGUCAAAAUUGAUGCCACAUGCCAAAUCGAUUGCCUGAAAUCGUUACUCAGAGUUUCAAGCCCAGGGAGUACAUGUUUUUCAACUGAUUUUUCAUUCAAUCUAUGCCUUCAGAAAAUUAGAAGAGUCGGAAUUGUGCUUCUUAGUUUUUUUAUAAGGCAUAUUCUUUAGCUAAUUGGUUGUUUUUUUUUCUUGAAUUUGUCCAUCAUUAGCAUAUGCGGGAGUAAAACACACAAAAUUCCCAAAAGAAAAGGUGAAACGCAAAGCUAGUAGGAGAAAUCGAUUGAUCGUGUAGAUGAUAGUAUAUAAAGUGAAAUACACCAUCUUCCUCCAUGAUCAUUAUUAUUAUUACAUCAUGAUAACCCCUCCAUCAUCUUCCUCCUUGCAAAAUAUAAGCGAUACCGUAAUUAUAGAUAAGUGUGCGACGACGACAAAUUGGGUUGAUGGGUGAUUAAAGAGUAGCCGGGAUAAAGGAGGAGGCGCACGCGAUCGAGCUUCAUGCUGGUGGAAUGUACUCGUAGUUCAG
rnacentral:lncRNA from 1 species